UGCAUAGUGAAUUUUUCUACAAGCACAAAUUGAGAUCUUGGCCUUUUUUAUUUGUUACAAUUUUUGUUUAUUAAAGAGCACUGGAACUAGAUAGGACAGAACCUUUCAUUCAGUUGCAUAUAAAUGGAUUUGGGUAGCUGCUGUUUUCUUUUUUUCGAGUUCAGUUGCAUAUAUAUUGAUUAAUGUUGCUUCAUGUACUAAUUAGUAUUGGGACUGCAGAGUAGCCAAGCUUAACACAAUUAUUCAAAUGAUUGACGUCCACAUAAAACUAUCCACAAUGACAGGUGGAGUAUGGCUUGAGACACAACUUUUUCUUUCGGUGAGCUGGAGGCCACUGUACUACUAAAUACUAAGUAUAUUUAGUAUAGGCUCUUGGUACCUUCUUUUGUUUUAUGCAUGAACAUUUUUGCAUCUGCUCCAGUAUUAGUGAUGCUUGAUUUAAUUUGUUCUUGCAAAAUAAUUUGAUAUUAGUGAUGCUUGAUUUAAUUUGUUCUUGCAAAAUAAUUUGAUAUUACCUUAGAAACAAUGGUGUUUUUUCUUCUAAAUAUACAAUGCUAUAACUGCCUCUGUUUCAUGUAUCUUUCAUGAGAAAUCGAAUUUGGCAUAUCAACUUGUGUGGCUUGAAGAUUAUUAAGAAAAAAUAAGUUGGCAAAGCAGUAGUCUGACUUCAAUGGAUGGGUUUCUAGUACUCACUAUCACAACUUUGUAACCCCCCAAUUUGCCUAUUGUAAUUGUUGCAUGGUAAUACAUCUAUUUUGCAAUUCAGGAAUGAACUGUGUUAGAAGAACUGCACCUUAGCCAUAAUGGAAUGGAAUACAAAAGAUGGAAGGUUUUUCUACAUUGCAGAACCUCUUGGAUGUUUCAUCUAGAAAGCUAACCAUUAUAGGAAUGUUGAAAACUUUAAAGUAGUUUCCACAGAUCUUGUUUACUACCUCAUAUUACCAAUCCUUUUUUUUACAGCAUGCUGCAUCUUUGUUUGACAAUUCACUUGUUCUCUAGGGGUGUGAGAUCUGCAUAUACACAAUUACUAGCUAUAUUACUGCUAGCUCCAAGCUACUGUGGUUUAGGAGAACAUCAAGUGUGAAAUCUUUUACAGUGCAAGAUAGGGUCCAAUGGCAGCAAAAGAAACUAUCGAGGUGAAAGGUAGCUUUUGCAAAGUUAUUUUCUACAGACUUAGCAGGUAGCUUACGUUAUGUAUUUAUUUAUCAUACCAUUUGUUUACCUUUUACAAUUUUCGGAUGUGCUAUAUUUUUUUAGUAUUUGUAUAUUAUUAAGUGGUUGUAAUGAUACCUUAAUGUUUCGUACUGACAAGGAAAUUUGGCUUUCCAGUAGUGAGCAUAUAUCAAAUUAUUUUAGUCAUGAGUUCUUCAUGCUGAAUGUCUUUGUCCCUGCUGCAGUAUACUUUUAAUAUAUUCCCACACAAUGCGCCAGUUAUUGAGAAUGGGUAUAACAAGGAAGAAAUGAAAAUGGUGAAGGAGACCAACAAAUUUGGGUUAGUCCUUGUGGUCCUAUUGGUCUAAACAACUUCCUAUGAAGUCUGCAUUACUCUGUCAAACUUUUCUCUCAUUGUGAUAAUUUGAGAAAAUAUAAUUUCCUUCUAACUGUCUAGUCCAUUGCUACAAUGACACGGUUGUGAAAGUAACUGCGACUUGCAUACAAGUUCCUGUGAUGUACUGAUGUGUGUGCACAUGCUGAAAGUGUCAAUCUAUAGUUUGAAAAGCUACUCGAUGAGGUUGGUAUAUGCAUAUAUGCUAACUAGCAUUAAAACUUAUUCUCUUUCGUCUCAAUUUGCACUAAGUGGAUUGAUCCUUGGAAUCUGUCAUUUUUUCAUUUGGAUAGGUGAUUUUAUCUUAACUUGGCUAUUUGUGAAUGUGGCAGAAAAAUAAAUUGAUUAUAUUUGUGUUGUGGUGUAAUAUUGCAACUUCUUAGCUUGUGUGGCUGUGUGUAGAAUAAGUCAAGACUUUUGAGUAUAAUAUUGCAAUCAUUAAAAAAUAACCUUCACUUCUAUCGCUAGCUAAGCCUUUUUUUCUUAAUUCAUCACAGAAAUAUGUGUGGUGUUGUAUUUUCUAGAACUUUUAUUGAAUUAAUUUAUUUAUUUAUUUUGCAGGAUCAUAGAAGCAUGUCAAUAAACAUAGGCGAAGAUUGAGAAUUGAAGAGAAGUAUCUGUCUGCUUGCGUAAAGCUUUUUAAAUAGAAUUAGAACGCAGCACGUACAUUUUAAGGGAAUAUGUAAUAUCUAACUAAUAUUAAAUGAAUACAUUUCAUGUACUUUUUCAUCUGUUCUAUGGUGUCCAAAGUAAAUAUGGUUAUGCAUGUAUUAUAUUAAAAAAUAGUUCUAGAAACUAUAUUAGCAUUGAGAAAGAAAAAUACAAAGAGCGCAUCAAUUUUGCUUAAUUUAAAACGUCCCUAUGAGACGUACAUACGUAAUUCACUAUCUCUGCAAAGGGUUUCAUGUCUUCUAUGAGACACGCUUAGCACUGUCUUUAGAAAACAUCUCAUGUUGGGUAGACACGCUUGUCACCAUCUCUAGAAAACGUCUCUUAUCUUGUAGACACGUUUGACAAAACGUGUUUACAGUUCUUGACACGGUCCAUGGGGAGACGCUCCAAACACGCUUUAGUGAAGCGUAUCUAUAAUUCACUAGAGAUGAAAUAAAGCGUAUCUAACCUAAAAAUAAAACGCAUCUAGAGGAGGGUGUUUCUUGUAGUGUGGUUGGUGCCCCGUCUGUAUAGAGGAAAAAUUGCUAAGGUCGAAAUGUGUGGGACUCUUGGUCAAGUGUUUGAAUGUACUAAACACAUGCUGAGAGUAUGGGGAAUUAGUAAGCCUAGUACCGGAUUGAACCGGCAUGGACCUUUCCCCCGCUCUCUCUGGAACCAGGUUCCCCUGAUGCAUCAUGUGGGUACAAGUGCGGCCAUGGCAUGGUGUCAUUCUGGGGACUGGUGGGGCCUUGUAUCCAAGGAAAGUGGGAUCUGGAUAAGCGCCGUGAAUUGACAGGAACCGUUGAUAUAUGUGAACCUGUCAUGGUACACAUAUGUCAUGUGUUUAGGUCCACCUUGCAAGGUUAAGAAACUCGAUUUGAAUCAUCUGCUUCUCACAGUUUGGGACUGCUUGAUUACUUUUCCUACAUUGAGUAAGAAGAUGAACAAGGAUGAUGCUUAAUAUUGAUGCUUGGUUAAAUUGCUUGUUCUACCAUGCUUGCUUAGCAUAGGUGCUUACCUAGAAUGGUUAAUCAACUAGAACUUGACGCUAAAACUUGAAAGUAAGGAUCCACUUUAUAAGCUUUUGGCAAAAACAAACCCCUCAGCUAAAAAGCCUUGCAUGUAUAGGAGUCAGUGGCUUAGAUACCACCUGACGGAUAAGUCUUGCGGAGUAUUAGUAUACUCAGCCUUGCUUGUGGCUAUAUUUUCAGGUAAUGAUGAUGUUGAUGAUAUGAUUGCUAGUGUGACUUGACCGUCCCAGAUCCCUCCGGGAUGGACGGUCGAGUGGGACCCAUCCUCGGUGGGCGAGGACCGUGGUGAGUGAUAUCAUGGACGGCUUCACCAUGGUAUCGUGUAUCGACAUUAGAACUAUCGCUUAUCUCCACUGCAAUUGAACUCUGAACACUUUUUAUGCUUUGAACUCUGAACUACUUUAUGCUUGAAACUCGGUUUGUAAUAAAUUAAUUUGGGACCUCUGUAAUAUUUUUAUCUGGAUUGUUGCAAUCUCUGGGCUCGUCUUUCGUACGAAUGUUGUAUGCUUGUUUCCAUCGAAAAUACGUGGUUGUAUCAGGUGAAACCUGACAGACUACCAUUUUGAUCCGAUUAAAGUAUCUAUUUGCAUUUGAGGCGAUGUUUAGCACACUUUAGCUAGGUUAAUUUGGGUGGUUCUUCCACAAGAGUCACGAGAGAUGCAGACCUGAGGUUGAUGGAGGCUGUGAGUCUUAGGCUAGAUCACUGGGGAUGGGCGCCGCCGAGGAGUUCCCAUCGCUUAUUAUUCCCUUUUAUGAUACAUCAACGAAGCAGACCAUGCCUCUCUCCAUCCCCAAAAUUGUCCCCGUAUCCUGAUUGUACAUGAGUUUAGUUUCACCAUAGUUUCAUAAUAUCAUGAAAUUCACAUACCCCAUGGAAAUGGAAAGAGAGAGGCUGGAUUCACUACUACAGAAAUUGCCUUCGCCAAUGGUCUAUCACCACCGGUUCAAGAUGAACUGAUGGUGUUGUUUUUUCACCACCGGAUUAGAAGAAGAUAGGGGCAGCGAGCGUUAAAACCGGCGGUGAUAGUGCUUUUCACAGUCGGUUGUUGGCUGAAACCAGUGGUGAAAGUAUCACCGCCCGCUCUUCCUACCACCUGCCAGAGAUAAUAGGCACGGACCCAAAAAAUAAAUUCAAUCCACUUAACUCACAUUUUGAGUCCAUCCCCAGGCCGCACGCCUCCCUCUCCCUCACACUAGGCUUCUGUCCCUCCCUCUCUCAUGCUUCCCACCUCCCCUCCCUCACUCCGUCUCUCACACCUCCCACCACUUCCUCCCUCCCUCUGCCUCCUCGGAUUGGCACCACCUCCCUCUGCCUCCUCCCCGCGCCGCCUCCCUCUACCUCCCAUGCAUGCCGGAUCCCCUCCCUUCCAGAUUUGGCACGGCGGGCCCCCGGUGGCUUGGGUAGCGUGUGGCGCGGGCUUGGGGCUCUAGCAUGAGCGGCGCGAGGAGCGGUGGCCACGGGCUUCCGGCGAUGCGAGAAGCGGCGGUCGUCUCCUCCCCUUCCAUUUCCGACCUCCCCUUCUCUCCCUCCCCUCUCCUCUCCUCCACUCGCCCCUCACCUCAUGCCUAUGGCGAGGAGUGGUAGAGGCGGCCAUCGGAGCAAGGAGCGGCGGCAGCCAGGGAGCUCGGCGGUGGCAAGAUCCGGUGGUGAUGGCAAGAUCCUACGACGAUGGUGAUAUCCGAUGGUGACGAGAUCCGGCGGUGGAGAGAUCCAAGCGAGCGGAGAGGUAAGCCUCACUCCUCUCUCUUUCCCUCUUCAUCUCCUUCUCCCAUGUGGCCCUUCUCCAGCCACAUCCUGUAGGCUGGGCCUCCCCUUGUCCUGGUCGGGACAAGGAGCUGGCCGGGACAAGGGGAGUCGGGUGGGUUGUGGGGGAGGCGGGGUCGGCGCGAAUGAGGCACGUCAAUGGGGCGGCGGGCGCAGCCAGCAGGAUGCGGGCUGGGGAUUUUUUUAUUUUUUUAAUAGGCAUCACUGCCGGUUCAUGGUCCGACGGUGAUACGAGGAUCAAAACCUGUAGUGAUGUGGAUUCUAGAGGUGGCGGUGAUAAGGCAAAUCUAUAAUAGUGAUUUUAUUUGAAAAAAUUAUAGUCCCUCCGUCAUGUAAUACAAGGCAUCCAAGCGUUUAAAACUUGUCCUAAAUAUAAGGUAUUUAGACACAUUUGAAUGAUUGCUCGUUUAAUUCUCUUAGGAAUUGACAAGACAAGGUGGCUAAUUGGUGAAUUAUUAUAAAAAUAAGUUCUUUGUUAUAUAUAACUGCCAUUAAAAAGACCUGACAACACAAUUCCCCAUGAAUAACUCAGGGUGCGUACAUCUUUUACGCUAAUAUGUAUGAAAAUAUUAGUUCAAGGAGUACUCCAUAGUGCUAGGAGAGGUACAAAGAUGUGGUGCGAUGCGACGAAAUAAAUAUCACCCUAUCCCUUUGCCUGUGUGGACAAACGGCAUGCAGUUCUCUCCAUGCUGGCCUGUGGUAUGUACCAGGCACAAAGCUACGACAAAGCAGGGUAUUGCCCGAUGGAUAUGGAUUUUCCAGCUCUCAGAAGUCAAUGCAUACGGUCCGUCCACUAGCAGAAAGCUGCAUCCUUUUCCGCACCACACCCGGACACCGUGAGUGUCCCGAUCAUCCACACGUCGUCGGCCAUCGGUCCGCCCACCAGCGACCGUUUCGUCCCCCACGUCCGAUGGUACGCAGGUCACAGUGACAACCAAACUAGCUCGCUGCGAGUCACUAUAUAUAGGCGUCAUGUUGUCCACUCAUGAUGGAUUAAAAAUCUGCAGAAAAUUCCAAGUAGGAUACCAAGCCUGAAAACAUGGUAUUGAAGAUUUCAUGGUAAGACUGGCUGACCACACAUGCAUGAAGAGUUGAAGUCCAUUCAUAGGCUUUCCUCAGCAACACCCGUCAAGACAAAUCAACGCGCCAACCAUGGAAUUAUUCCACGAUCCAGGAUUCACCUAUAUAAGCAGCCACUCUUCCGCAAGAUUGGACCAUAUCACACAAAAGGAUCCUAGUCCUAGCUAACAUGGCAUCUUCUCCUCUGGCCACCGUGAUCCAGAUGUCUUCGCACACCAACGCCACAGCAUCGACGACACCUAAGGGAACCGAUGAACCCCUGACCAUGCCAAUGGCACCAAGCUCUUCCGGGACGACGACAGACAAGGUGAUGUCAAGCGCGGCCAACCUGGCGCAGCUCCUGCCGACGGGCACGGUGCUGGCGUACCAGGCGCUGUCGCCGUCCUUCACCAACCACGGCAACUGCACCACCUCCAACCGGUGGCUCACGGCCGUCCUGGUCGGCGUCCUGGCCGUCUUCUCCCUCUUCUUCUCCUUCACCGACAGUGUCAUCGGCCGCGACCGCAAGCUCUACUUCGGCGUGGCGACGCCGCACGGGUUUAACGUGUUCAACUUAUCCGAGGAGGAGGAGAAGCGGGAGUUGGGCGAGCUCCAGAAGCUCCGGCUCCGCCCGCUGGACUACGUGCACGCCUUCUUCACCGCCGUGGUGUUCCUCACCGUGGCGUUCAGCGACGUGGGGCUGCAGAGGUGCUUCUUCCCCAACGCUGGCGUCAACACCAACGAGCUUCUUAAGAAUCUGCCGCUGGGGAUGUCGUUCCUGUCGAGCUUUGUGUUCUUGAUCUUCCCGACCAAAAGGAAGGGCAUCGGAUACAACGAUUCCACUCCCCGCCAGAAGGCAUGAUGCGUCCGGUCACUUAAAAGUAGUUCAGAUAUCUUUUAAGAUUUAGAACAGUGGAUUUGAACACAAUUCAAGAUUUAGAACAUGAUGCAGUUGUCGUGAUCGAUGUGUGUAUUCCUUAGUUUGUUCCUGGAAAAGUUGUAGGUUUAAUCUGUUCAUUUUGCUGAAAAAAGUAGGUUUUGUACUUGUAUAUACGUACAUGCAAUGUUUGAUAGGUGGAUUAUUUUCGUACUUAAAUACAUGAUUGGAAAAAAAUUGGUGGAAGAGAUGGAGAGAGUUUGAAGACAAAAUAUUUGGAGAAUAUGGAUCAUAUAUCUAUUCAGUCCUGUGUUUUUGUCGAGGAAUGAAACAUUUAUUAACAUGGCUUUCACUUCUGCAACGCAUCUUGAUUUUGAAACAUCUUACUCCCUCCAUCCCAAAUUACUAUUCAUUUUGAUUUUUCUAAAUACAUAGCUUUUGCUAUGCACCUAGAUGUAUAUUAUGUUUAGAUAUGUAGCAAAUGCUAUGUACCUAGAAAAGCUAAAACGAAUAGUAAUUUGGGACGGAGGGAGCACUUAGAAAGGAUUUACGCCUUUUUAUUAAAGAAUAAUUUCUUCAAAUACAUAUGCCAUGUCAAGAUAUGUGGCAUCCGUGCAAUACAUGCAAUGCGCUUGACAUUUCAUUCUUUUAUUACAAUGCUUCCAAUUACUUGGAUGUCCAUGUGCCAUGGCCCAUGGCUAACUAAUCGGCCGUGUUUUCUUUUUUGCUCUGUUUCUUUUUGGCGUGUCCUCACAGUUUUUGCAUGGGACAUAUAUAGCACACCGGAGACGUGAUUGUGUUGUGGUGGAUUUGGAUGGGUCAUUUGCAUAACACAAUUCAUGGUUUAGACUAUGAAAAAGUUUUAUUGAUCAUGACGUGUGUUUUCGUUAGUUUGUUGCUAGAAAAAUUGUAGGUUUUGUGCUUCCUUUUCUGGAAAAGAAGGUUUUGUACUUUAUUAUAUAGGUACAUGCGAUGUUUGAUAGGUGGAUUCUUGUGGUACAUAAAGUCAUAAAUACAUGCAUGUUGGAAAAAAAUUGGUGGAACAGAUGGAGGGUUUGAACCAUACCUUUUGCUUUUGCAGGUCAUCUUAGUUUUGAUUUUGAAGCAUCUUGCUUAGGAUGAAUUUGAAACUUUUGGCUGAAGAAUAAUUUCACCCCAGCUUCCAUGUCAAGAUACAUGGCAUCCUUGCUUCUUCGCGUGUGUAGGGGAACUCCUGGCAUAGUUUGCGUGGGACGUUGCACAACAGAGAUGUGAUUGUGUAGUGGAUUCUGAAUCUACAUUGCUUAACUCAACUAAAUCAGGAUUGUUAACAUCCAAAUAUGAACACCACUUAGAUAAUUGAGUUAGAAUCACAACCAUCAGCGACGUUGUGUGAUGACCCAGCCAUGAGAGUCGGGAACGAAGCUGGGAAUGCCGUCACCAUAGUUGUACUAACUCAUAGGAGAUCGCGUCGACCCACUAGCCUCCACCUCAUUUGGCCAGAGCCAACGGCAGUAGGAUGGUGGUGGCCUUCAGAUGGCUUCAGUGCCGCCAGAGAUCGGGUGGCAAUGUUAGGGGGCGUGUGUAAGUUUUGGCGUGAGUUUGUUAGCUCAAAAACCAGCUGGACCUCCCCUUUUAUUGUGGUGUUGGGCGAUCUGGGGCCACAACCACAAGUUGGUUGUGCCUCCGAUCAAGGCAAGAGGUGACGGUCGCAAGUCCGAGUCUUGGGUGAGCUUCCUUAUCCUUCCCCCUUCCUCUUUCUCUGCCUUUUGACCACCUCCUAAAUUUUUCAACAUUCUCCUCUUUGGUCUAAAGGCCUAUAACUUAUACCAUUCUUAAAGCAGAAUUAUGCAGGGAGACAAUGUGUGACAAUGGUGAUUAAAAUCCCACUGUAACACAGUUGUCCACAAUUUAUAAAACUACCUAUCAUAAUGGGAGGUGGUUGUCUUAUGACCCUCCAAGAUCAUAGGCUACCCGAUAAUCCCAUGCCAGCAACAUGUUCACUGAAUAUAAUGGGAGGUAAGCCUUUUGUUAAUGGAUUCGCAAGCAUCUUCUUAGUACUUAUAUGCUCUAACUAAAUGGUGUGAUCUUGAAUUCUAUCUGUCACAACAAGGUACUUAAUCUCAAUGUGCUUUGUAGCACCACUUAACUUGUUGUUAUUCGAAUAGAAAAAUGCUGACUUAUUAUUGCAGUAUAAUUUUAGUGCCCUACUUAUGCUGUCUACCACUCUUAAUCCUAGGAUGAAACUUGUAAGCAAUACAGCUUUCCCUACAGCUUCAUAGCAUGCCACAAACUCAGCUUGCAUUAUCAAUGCAGUUGUCAGUGUUUGUUUGGAACUUUUCCAUGAUAUAGCCUCAUUUGCAGGUGUGAAGACAUAACCUGAUGUGGAUUUUCUUGUGUCAACACAACCCGUAAAAUCAGCAUCUGAAUAGCUGAUUAUCUCUAAUUUCUCAGUUAUCUUAUACGUAAGCAUGUAAUUCUUAGUGCCUUGCAUGUAACGCAAAGCUUUCUUAACUCCUUUCUAGUGGCCCAUUCCUGGAUUAGACCGAUACCUUCCAAGCAUCCCACUAAUAAAGACCAAGUCAGGACGUGUACACACUUGUGCAUACAUUAUGCUUCCAACAGCUGAAGCAUAAGGAAUCGUUCUUAUUUGAUCAAUUUCUAAUUGAUUCCCGGGACUUUGGAAUGACCCAAACUUAUUGCCCUUAACAAUUGGAGCAGCUAUGCCUGAACAUUGGUGCAUAUUAUAUCUUUCAAGGAGCUUCUCUAUGUAAGCUCUUUGAGAGAGUUCGAAUACACCUUUGAAUACACCUUUGGAUCUAUCUCGGUGAAUCUCAAUGCCUAAGACAUAAGUAGCAUCACCAAGGUCCUUCAUGUCAAAGUUUGAUGAGAGAAAACCCUUUGUCUCAUGCAGCAAGUUCUUAUCGCUGCUCGCUAAUAGGAUGUCAUCCACAUAAAGUACUAGGAUGACUAUAGAGCUCCCCUUGGUCUUAACAUAUAUGCAGUUGUCCUUCUUAUUUUCAAUGAAGCUAAUUCUCUUAAUCACUUCAUCAAACAUAAGGUACCAUUGCCUGGACACUUGUUUCAACCCAUAAAUGGAUUUUCUUAGUUUGCAUCCCAUAUGUUCUUUGCCUUCCAUGACAAACCCUUCAGGUUGCGUCAUGUACACAUUCUCAUGCAAGUCACCAUAAAGGAAUGAAGUCUUAACAUCUAUCUGAUGCAGCUCAAGAUCAUAAUGAGCUACUAAAGCCAUAACGAUUCUAAAUGAAUCUUUCUUUGAGACAAGCGAGAAGGUUUCAUUAUAACUGACUCCUUCUACUUGUGAGAAGCCCUUCGCCAUGAGUCUUGAUUUGAUCCUUUUGAUCUUCCUUUUAGAGUCAUAUUUAGUUUUGUAGACCCAUUUACAGCCUACUGUCUUGGCUCCUUCAGGAAUUUCUACUAAGUUCCAUGCUCUAUUUGCUUCCAUGGACUACAACUAUUCUUCCAUGGCCUCGCACCACUUAUGAAAGUGAUCACUUCUUAUGGCUUCCUUAAAUGUGUUUGGGUCAUCCACCUUCCCCAUGUCGUGUCCCUCUUCACUUAUGUACACAUACUCAUCGGAAAGGGUGAACUUCCUCUCACUUGUUGACCUUCUCAGAGGCUGUGCUACUAUUGCCUAUGGUGCUUCUACUUGAGCAGGUUCCUGCUGAACCACUUUGGGCUCAUCAGUGGCCUCCCCUUGCAAUCCACCAGCAGGUUCUACCACAUCUUCACUUUGAUGCUCACUUAUCACAGGUGCAUCUACAUUUUCACUUAAGGUAGGUGUUACUCCCACAUUUUCUACUGGAGGUUCCACCACCUGAAAUGUAACUGUGGUAUAUGGCAUAGGAGCAUAAUAAUCCUGUCUCAUGGGUAAUGGCUCAUAGGUCCACAUCUCCUCAAGAUCAAUUUUCCUAGCCUCAGUGCAUCCAGUUUCCUCUAAGAAGACAGCAUGCCUUGUCUCUACAAACUUAGUGGUACGCUUAGGACAAUAAAAGUGGUACCCCUUUGACUAGUCCGGAUAUCCAAUAAAAUAGCAGCUUUCGGUCUUAGGAUCUAAUUUUCCAAGUUGUGGAUUAAAUAUCUUUGCUUCAGUUGCAUAGCCCCACACAUAUAAAUAAUUCAUGCUAGGCUUCCUACCAGUCCAAAGUUCAUAAGGAGUCUUAAGGACUGACUUACUAGAAACAUGAUUAUUAAUAUGUGCGGCAGUCUUUAAAGCUUCCAUCCACAGACUCACUGGCAGCGUAGAGUUACUGAGCAUACUAUGCACCAUGUUCAUAAGGGUGCGAUUUCUUCUCUCAGCAAUACCAUUUUGCUAAGGCUUACCAGGAGUGGAACACUGAGCUGCUAUACCAUUAUCUUGGAGAAAUCUUGCAAAGGGUCCCAGAAUUUGUCCAUAUGUGGAGUGUUUCCCAUAAUACUCCCCUCCCCUGUCUGAUCUUCAAAUUUGAUGUUUAAGUCAUGCUGAUUUGCUACUUCAGCUUUAAAGAUUUUAAACUUAUCAAGUGCUUCAGACUUUUCACGUAUGGGAUAGAUGAAUCCAUAGCGGGAGAACUCAUCAAUGAAGGUAAUGAAAUAAUUAUAACCAUCCACUGAUCUUACAUUAAAUGGAUUGUAUAUAUUAGUAUGAAUUAUUUCUAAUAAUCCUGAACUACACUUAGCUCCAUCCUUUUUAAUUUGUUUUACAAAUUUUCCCUUAAUACAGUCAACGCAUUGAUCUAAGUCAGAGAAAUCUAAGUUUGGAAGUAUCUCUUCUCUAAUGAGACGCUCCAUCCUCCCCUUCGAAAUGUGGCCUAAGCGGACAUGCCACAAUUUCGAUGAAGUGUCAAUCUUUCUCUUUCGCUUAUGGUUGACAUAACUUGCUGUGGCAGAACCACCCAAGUUAAUCCGGCUAAAGUGUACUCAACCUCGCCUCAAAUGUGAAUGGUCACUUUAAUCGAAUUAAAAUGGUAGUCUAUCGGGUUUCACCUAAUAAACCACCUGUCUCAGAUCGAAACAAAGCAUACUCACACGAAGGUGAGUCCAGAGAUUACAACAAUCCAGAUAAAAUUAUUACAGGUUCCAAAUUAAGUUAUUACAAGUCGAUAGUUCAAAAGCAUAACAGUAGUGUUCAGAGUUCAAAAGUAGCAAAAAACAACAAGAGGUCCUACGUCGAUACAAAAUACCAUGGUGAAGCCUGCCAUGAUAUCAAUCACCAUGUUCCUCGCCGACCGAGGACGGGUUCCACUAGACCGUCCAACCUGGAGGGAGUUGGGUCGGCCAAGUCAAACUGGCUACCAAUUCGUCAAAAUCAAUAUUACCUGAAAACAUAGCCACGAGUAAGACUGAGUAUACUAAUACUCAACAAGACUUACCCAUCAAGUGGUAUCUACUCCACCGACUUCUAGACAUGCAAGGCUUUUUGGCUGAGGGGGUUUAUUUUGCCAAAAGCAUCUAAAGUAGAUCCUUACCUUCAAGUUUUUAGUAGCAAAUUCUAGUUGAUUAUCCAUUCUAAGUAAGCACUUAUUCUAAGCAAACAUGGUGAUCAAGCAAUUUAAUUCAAGCAUCAGUAUUUAUUAUCAUACUUGUUUCACUUCUUACUUAGUGCAAAAAUGCAGUCAAACAGUCUCAGACUAUGAGAGGCAGACCAUUCGAAUCCUGUUUCUUAACCUUGCAAGGUGAACCUAAACCCACGACACAUGCGUACCACACUAGGGUUCACACAUGUCAGCCUUUUCCAUCAAUCCCUAGGCACAUGGUCAGGCUCCACUUCCCUUGGGUACAAUGCCCCAUGGUCCUGAACGACGCCAUACUGUGACUACACUUGUACCCACAUAAUGCAUCAGGGGAACCAGGUUCCAGAGAGAGCAGGGAGGUAUGCCCACGUCCCGGUUCCAUCAGGUACUAGGCUUCCCUAUCCCAUACUAGGUAUGAGCUUAGUACUUUCAAACACUUGACCACAACUCUAAACACAUUUUGACCUUAGCAACUUUCUUCUAGACAGAUGGGGCAAUCCACCAAUUCAGAUCAUAGUACCCGGCCCCGCCUGUCAACCUUAUGGUUUCAACAUAAGUAAACAGACAACUCCUAUAACUCUCGAGUGAUAGGAAAUAACUUGACUUUUACCAAGUCCCUAUUUAGCAUUGCAACUACUCAACCUAUCACACUAGUAUUCAAACAUAGGUACCUAGGAUCAUGCAACUAGGGUUUCAAAUAAUGCCUAUAAAUUUAAAGCACAAACAUAAGUAAUAUAAGUAUUGCAUAAACUUUAGAAAUCAAGGUCAUGCUCCGAGAUGCCUUCCUGUACUAGGUUAGUCUGAAGGUCGCUUGAAGCUUGACUGGGGUCUUGCUCAACCUCGAUCUGGUGCACCUCUGCAGAUGGCUCCUCCUCAGCUGUCGGGAGUAGUUUGUAGGUUUCAUCGGCAAGAUUCGCUUCUACAUGAGAUGCAUAUGCAAAAGUUCAAGUUUCCAUACAUUCACAUACAAGAUGCAUUUCAUGAACUAUUGUAGAAGUGUAAAUUGCAAUUCGACCACAUUCACCUAGACAAGAACUAAACCUUGAUUUGUCGUAAAGUAAAGUGCGCUGCAAUUUAAAACCUGAGCUUGAUUUGAUGGUGAUUGUAUACACAUAUAAAGUUCUAACCGCUUAAACUUCACAAAAGAAAGGUGGGGUCAUUUUAGGGUUGCUCAACAUGCAUUUGGAAAGUUAUCCUGUUUUUGAAUUUUAAACUAACUCAAAUGAGCUUUUACCAUUUUACCCUUCCUAAUUAACAUUUGCUAUUAACCAUUUAUCUAGCUAUUAAACUUCAAUAACUGCUUCUAGAAGAAUCUGAUAAGAUAUGGUUCUGAAAUUUUUACAGAAGCUUCACAAGUUCUAACAGAGGCUACUAUAAAUUUUCCAAGAUUUAUUGAGCAUGAAAACUAUUUAUCACAUUUUAAGUAUAUUAAACCACAUGCAUUUAUUUAAGCAAGGUAAAACAUGUAUAUUAUAGAAGCUCGUAUUUUUCCUAGUUAAGCAGAUGUAGCAGGAACCUAGAAAAAGUUAUCUUGCAUUUUUAUCUAUUUUCCUCCAUUUAUAGUGCAAAAUAAUAAGAUUAAACUUAGCAUUUAAGCAUUUGAACUCAAAACAAUAAGUUCAUCAACUAAACAAAGUAGUACAAAUUUCAUAUCUAGAACAAGCAUGCCAAGAGUGAACUAACAGAAGUGGUUUCACAUUUUUGUCAUUUUUCUAGGAUUUAUAAGGCAUUUAUUGGCUUUUACACAAAAUAAAUCCUAUUGUGAAAUAUAUAGCAAUGACAAGUCCAAAAAAAAUAUUUUUCAGUGAAACUAGACAACUCCUGGAGUCCAACAAAAUUGGUUUUGCAUAUUUAGCAUUUUUCUACAUUUUCCUACACAUUUUUAAAGCUUCAGACAUUUUAUUCAUUUAAAAACAGAAAGGGUUAUAUGCGUUUCGCAAGUAAGCCCCUAGACCUUUUGAAACCUACAAAGAUACCCUUACACUUUGCACUAAGGACCCUAAAAAGAAAAUGGGAAUUGCAAUGUGGUCCCUGGGCUCGGCCGGUGGCGCUCCAUCGCGAUUCCGGCGAGCUCCGCCGACAGGGGUGUGAGGUGAGGGCUUAGGCACGAUAAGGGGCUCACCUAGGGUUUGUGGCUGUGGAAGUCGUCGGCUGUGGAGGUGUGGUGGCGGCGCUUGACAGCGAGGUCUUGGGCACGGCGAAGCAGCUUCUUCUCCGUGACGACGGCAGCGAAGGAAGCUGGGGAGCUGCUGUGGAGGCUUGAGUGAGGCACGUGUGGUGCUCGGGAGGGGGCUGGGGGCUCUGGCGAGGUCCGGGAGGGGGAGCUCGAUGGUUUAGUGCUCCGGUGGCGCUUCGGUGCUGAGGGAGUGGCGGGGCAAGUCCGGCGAUGAGGCUUGGCCUCUUUUUAUAGCGGUUGCAGGGCAAGGGGAGGAUAAGGAUGCCGUGGGGAGCUUUGGUGGCGAUUGGAUGAGAAUGAGUGUGGCCAGCAACUGGCAGGCAGGCGUGCCAGCGCGGUGGUUGGCCAUGACGGUGAGCGCGCGUGGGCGAGCGGCUGCUACUGGCCGGGCAAUAUCUUCACGUGGAGGAGCGGAUUUGCUACGCGCGCGGAUUGGCUGAGGUCUCAUCACCAACAGCAUUGGCCAGGCAGCGAUGGCCGCUGGCAGGCGGCGACGUGGCGGUGAGCCUCUGCCGGAGAGCAUGGGUGCGCGCUGGUGCAUUGGCCGGUGAAGAUGCGGCAUGGAGGAGUGGGGAUAUGGCGCGCGCGGGUUGGGUGAGCACCAGGCGCAACUUGUCUCGUCACCGGCGAGCAUUGGCUGGCGGCGCUGCGCCAAGGGGCUGUUGUGACAUGGUGCACCGCGACACACCGUGCGCGAUCAACCCCCGAUCGUGUGCAUGUGCGUUCGCGGUGGCAUGCACGGUAGCAUGUUUGGAGUGAUUUUGCUUCAUAUUUUGAAUUCAAACUUCAAAAAUUCCGAAUUAUAAAAGUUGUAGUCUAAACCAUACUCUCCAACUUCUACAAAAGCCUAUGGGUGAAAUUCUUAACAGGUUUUGAGAUAAACCGGUUGGAAUUUUAGUGGAACGCCAGCUUGGCUGGUUUUGAAUUUGUCCCCAAAUUUUGGCUGAAUUUUGAUUCACAAAUUGAAAGCCUUUUACUCAAAAUUAGUGAAAGCUCAUAUAACAAAAGUUGUUUGUUUUUAAAAGUUCUACAACUUUCAUAUUGGCCUAAAGUUGAGUUCGUAUAUAAAAUUUGGUUUUCAGCUUCUACCUCUAUUUAGUGCUUUUUGGGACAUUUUCACCACUUAAUGAAGUUGAAAAGUCUUUAGAGUUUGACAUUUUGAACUUUGGAGUGUUUUCUACUCUUUCCUCCUAAAUUCCCUUGUUUUCACCUUUGGAUUCUUGUUUUGCCCCUAUUGACUUCAUUAUGCCCUUUUUGUGGUGUUUUCAACACUUAGAAAAUUAAGGUGCAUUUGAAAAUUUGACAAGUGACCAAAGUGAGUUAAAUGGUGAUUUAUUUGCUUAAUGACUUUGAUCACCCUUCAUUUGCUUUGCUAAUUACCAGGGAUGUUACACUUACAUUCAUCACAGAAGAAUUAAUACUUAGAGGCAACAAGUAAUGCUUAUCAUGUAAAGGCGCAUGACCAAUAAUCUUAUUGUCAAAACUUAUUACACAUUUGUUGUUCCCAAAAUUGCAGGAAUAACCAUCACAAAUUUCAUGAUGAAACAUAAAUCAAGUUUCUCUUAAGAGAUGGUACAUAAAGAACAUUAUUUAAAUGAAGCCUGAAGCUACUGCUAAGUUCUAAUGUGAGAUCUCCAACAGCCUCAACUUCAGCUUCAACUCCAUUUGUAACUUUAACGGCGCGAAUCCCCUUUCUUAUAAUCUGCGCGCCACAUAAUCCCUGUGAGGAAUUAGUAACAUGAAUGGUUGCACCAGAAUCAAUCCACCAUGUACUUAAUGGAAAAUGAACAUAAAGGGACUCAUCAACUAUAGAAAUAAAGUCAUCAUUACCGUUUUUGAUGCACUAUUCCUUAAACUGAGCACAGUGCUUCUUAAUGUGUCCAUAAUCCUUGCAGUGAUGGCAUUUAUGACCCUUAGACGAGGAUGGCCCAUCAUUGUUUGGAGGAGGUUGAUAAGGCUUCUUAUUUUUCUUAAUUUUCUUAAAAGGAAUGAUCUGCUUAUUUUUGCCCUCAUUCACCUCGUGCCUAAUGAUAUUGUCAAAAUCUUCCUUCUCAGAUCUUAGUCUCUCUUCCUCCUGACUGCACUUCAUGAUUAGUGUGGGAAUAUCCCACUUCGCGUCGCUGCCAUUAUAGUUGAUAUUGAAGGGAUCAAACACUGAGGGCAAUGAAAGCAUGAUGCGGUGAAGCAGUGUCUCAUCAUUUAGGGGCCACUUCAAGUCGUUGAGCUUAUCCCUUAGGUCAACGAGACUCAUGAUGUGCUCCCUGGCACUGCCUUGCCCAUCAUACUUAGUGUUCAUUAACUUAGACAGGAGGGUGCUAGCAUUAGCCUUAGUGGAGCCUUUGAAAUACUCCUCAACCUUUUCCAUAAAUUAUUUGGCACUUUUGGGAUUUUUCUCAAUAGUUCCCCUGAUUGCCGGGUUUAUGGUGUGCUCCAUUAUCAUGAUGGUCACUCUAUCUGAUCGCUCCCAUCGCUCCUUUUCUUUCUCAUAAGCAGCAGUGCGCUCAGGAAGGGUACUAUCAUUAUCCCCUUGAGCAGUAGGAGUAACAUGAAGAUCCUCCCUCAUGGAGUGGUCCCGAUCCAUAAUGCAUAGGACCAAGCCAAUUUGAUUCUUCCAGGUGGUGAAGUUGUCUCCUCCAAGCUUCUCUAUGCCAUUGACAUAGCUUAUGACGUUAGAUGGAGUCAAGUCUGAAUAAAAGAAUUUUAAUCAGUAAUGAUGACAAAAAAAAUGAAUUUAAUCUGCGUUGGCUCGAUUAAAAAUAUAGAUAAAUAACUUUGCAUCACUGUUGGGCAGAAGCAAAAUAACUUAAAACUUAAGUAAAAUAUUUAUGGACAACCAAUUAAUAACAACACUGGUCAGAAAUUAAUUAUGUGCCCAAAUGAACAUGAAAUAAUUCUGAAUAAAUUAUACGUUGGUUCUAUUUACUCAAAAUAUCAUCAAUUAGAGUUAUUUGUGUAAUUAUGCAACUUAAAUAUUACUUAGCAUAAUGAAACAACUCAUGAAACUUAAAUAAUUGAGGCAAAACAGUGAGUGGGCUAAAAAAACUUAAAAUCAGCCUAAAACUUUAAAUUCAGCCCGUAGUCGGCCCGUCUUCGUCGUGGCCUAAAAACUCAGGUGACUCAACUCGGCUCGGCCCAAGUGGUCUGACAGUGGUCCGUGCGAGCGGCCCAAGUCAACCUCUAGAGAAGUCCUCAUGUGCACCUCAAACAACAACGGCCCAUGCAAGCUGGCGGCCCAGCGUGCAAGAAACUGCGACCCAGCAGACGCAAGGCAGCCCAGCUGAUGGUGGCAAGGCAUGGCCUAACUUACAGCCUGCUAGCGGCCUGUGCAAACCCAGCUCGCACGCGGCCAGCUCUCCCCAUGCACGCCUGGGCCUAGAGCCCAGUAGCCAUGGGUUGGGCCGCCAUUUUGGCCCAGUGGCGGGCGCUGCGGCCACCCGCCUCAAUCGCCGCCGUCCAUCAGAUCCAAUAGUCCAGCGCAUGGAUUGGAGGAAGAAAAACGGUGCACCGAGGCUCCCUUGGAAACCCUAGGCAUUGCUCCCCGUUCCCGCAGCCGCUCCCCUUCUGUCACCUCCGCACCGCCGCUCUUCGCUAGUGGCCACCCGCUCGCUGCCCUUGCCAAGCUCCACUACGAGCCCUCUCGCCGGUGCCAUCGUGCCACCGAGUCGCACGCGGCUCUGUCGAGGGGCUCCGCUGCGGGCAUGAUGGUGGGCGAGUGCAUCUCAAGGCACGAUGGUGGAUCUGGCGGUUUCGGCGCCGCCAACUGCCCACCACUAGCCAAAGCGCGCCACCGCGGGCCCUCUCGCCGGCACCGCGUGCGACCGAGUCACGCGCGGCUCUGUCGAGGGGCUCCGCUGGGGUGCACUCAUGGCGGGCGAAUGCACUACGGCGGUGGUGGCGGUGGCACACCACCGGAUCUCCACCAGCAAGGCGACAUGGCUCAUGACGCCGCGCUGGAUCUUCGUGUGGCUAGAGCUAAUGCCGCGCAUCUCGACCCAUGCCGCGCCUAGCCUGCGCGGGACAAACUCAAGUCCCGUGCUCAAGGCACAGGCAGGCGCGGCUCGUCGGAGAAAAGCGCUAGCAUCCACCCACGGCAGCAACCUUAUGCCACGCGUGACGGCCGGGCGAACCAGAGGUAAGUCUUCUCAUCCUCGAGUUAUGGUUAGGGUUAGGGUUUCUGAUGGGGAUUUUUCUUAAUCAUUUGUGAUUUUCCCAAUUCCUCUCCUUCUAAUUGCUUAUGUGUGUCUUAAUUUUAAGAUUGAAUACUUAAUUUCGCGAGUUGUAGCUUAAUCAGUGGGGAAUCGGGGUAAAACAGAGACGAACCCUAACCCUAAUCACUUAAUUAACAUGAAUUAGGACUCAAUUAGGGUCUAAUCUGCUAACUUAGGCACACAAUUAGGCUAACUGAGAUCUAAUUCAACAAUAAUCUUGACUUAACAGAUCAAGUUAAUGAACUAAAACUUGAACAUUGACUUGUAACCGAAGAAUAUUAAGCCUAGUAGCAUAGCAAUUCGCACUAGAAAACUACUGUGUAGAUCAAAAGGCAUAGAAAAAACAGUACAAUUCAGCUCAAUUGCACACUAAGAAUCAAUCUACACAACCUUAGGGUCCAUAUCUAGAUGCAGUUAGCUUAACUGAUACCAAAUGUAGGAAUCUACAUUGCUUAACUCAACUAAAACAAGAUUGGUAAUAUCCAAACAUGAAUACCACUUAGAUAAUUGAGUUAGAAUCACAACCAGCAGCGACGUUGUGUGAUGACCCAGCCAUGAGAGUCGGGGACGAAGUUGGGGAUACCGUCACCGUAGUUGUACUAGCUCAUAGGAGAUCGUGUCGACCCUCUGGCCUCCACCUCGUUUGGCCAGAGACGAUGGCAGUAGGACAGCGAUGGCCUUUAGAUGGCUCCAGCGCCGCUAGAGAUCAGGUGGCAAUGUUAGGGGGUGUGCAUGGGUUUUGAUGUGAGUUUGUUAGCUCAAAAACUAGCCGAGCCUCCCCUUUUAUUGUGGCAUUGGGCGAUCUGGGGCCACAACCACGAGUUGGUUGUGCCUCCGAUCAAGGCGCGAGGUGACGGGCGCGAGUCCGAGUCUUGGGCGAGCUUCCUUAUCCUCCCCUUCCUCUUUACCUUUUGACCACCUCCUGAAUUUUCCAACAAAUUCAUCAUCUAUAGGGCGUCUCCUAUGUAUAGGAUUACCCCUGGUUCCAUAGAUAGGGACCAUCAUGAUUUAAUGUCACAUGUUCUAUUUGCUUCAAUGUUUAGAAGCGGGGUUAUAUCUAUAAAUAGGACCCACACCUUCUUCUCCUCUCUAUGUUCCCAUCACUCUCUCAUUCAUUUUUUUAUUACUUAGGAGUAGGUCCUAUAGAUGGAACUGGGUCCUUUGUAGAUCCAACCACACAAUAUAUAAGAUCCGGUUCUAUGAGUGUAUUUAUGGUAUAGAAACGACUUAGGACCUCCCAUUGGAGAAGCCCUAAGAGCAGCUCCAGCGUUGGUAUUUUGGAGGUGCUCCGAGGAGAGAGAAAAAGAUUCCUAGGGCGCUUCACGCUGGAGAGGAGGAUGCUAGGAGGGUGCUCCAAAGCACCAGGUGCUAGGCUUUGCAUCAGGUGCUACAAAUUAGUGGGUGGUGGGGUAUGAAUUAUUGGAGGCAAUCAUAGAGAUGAUGAUAUUCCAUUGUAUCCAUGAUUUAAUAUUAUGUUCCUUGAAUAUCCAUUAAAGUCUACUUGAAUUGAUUUUGCAAUUAUGUGAAUUGUAUGUGAAACUCUUUACUUGUAUGGUUAUUCUAAAAUUAUCCCUAGUCGGAUGUCAUGUGAGGACACACAUGAAUAUUAGACUAGUACAUGUAUUAAUUGAUGACCAUGUUUCACAAGUCAUGGACAUGAAGAUGUAAAACUAAUAAUGUGGGCACGUGUAGAGACAUGUGCUAGGACUAACCCAACACGAGAUAUAGUUACAUAGUUCUCUUUACACAUCGUGUACACUUUGUCCUUGGAUCUAAGAUUGUUGCAUGCACUCAAGAUGUGAAUCGACUUACUUAGGAGCUGUCAAACGCUACUCUGUAACUAGGUAUUUAUAAAGGUAGCUUUUGGGUUUGUCAGAAAGCAUGUUGUGAGGCAUGAUUAGUCAAGAUGGAAUUUGCCUCUCUCUACUUGAGAGAGAUAUCUCUGGGCCUCUCGAGUGAUCGGAUCCAGAAAUACAUGGCCAGGCUAUAUAAGGUUAAGAGUUAACCUAGGAAGGGAUUUCGAAUCACAGGAACCAAAUAUCGUGAGGCAAAGAGAAUAGCAUGUACGUGAUGUUGUGAUAGUUUUUUUAUAUGAUCUUCGUGUGCGUAUAGGAGUUGGCAUGUCUUAUUAGAGGCCGCUACCAACUAUUGGUCGAGUAGGAGUACUCGUGUCAUGUCUAUACGUAUAUGAACCUAUUGGGUCACACACUUAAGGGGUUGGAAGCCCAAUAAGGAUAUGAUCCGAAUUGGACCAGGUUUAGGAGUAUUAAUGGGCCUCGGACCUAGAGGCCUGUUAGGGACCUCUGUAUAUUAAGGGGUGGGGACGGCUUAGGGUUUUAAUCCUUUUGGCAAAAUAGUAGCCGCACCUCCCAUGCCCUCACCGAGUUGCACUCGCAGAUCUAGUAGUCCGGUUUGCGACGCUUUCUCCCCGCACGUGUGGAUACCUUGAAGGUGUUGCAUCUGCAGCACUUGGACGAGCUGCUGCACCACGUGGACGAGCCGCUACACGUGGAUGAGGAGCUGCUUGACGUGGACGUAUUCGACUACACUGCGCCGACGUGUGAUCAACUACACUGCCCCGACGCGCUUCAUCAAGUUCUGUAUCUGCACGUCUAGUCGUAAUCCCGUGAUCUAUAAUAGCAGUAUUCCUAAUUUUACGCGGUAGAAAAUUUUAUUUUGCGCUAACGUAGCCUACCUCGUAAUCCUUCAUGAAUAUCAGUGAGUGGAAUUCAUGAAUGUCAGUGAGUGGAAGGGGAGAGAUGGAAGUUAUUUGAUGAAUUUUUUAUUCUCUGCGGGACUCAUAUUUUAGACAAUAUUGUGUGGUUAUACACCGGAGAGAAAUGAGAAGUUUGGCAACUGCAUCACGUAUCGUAUUCCUAGCACCACCCUCACAGUUAUACGCUGCGGCUGCUCUAACAUUUCGAUGCUCUUUGGGACCAGCCACACGUGUGAUGAGCCUUUAUUCUCAGCACACACCAUGCUGUGAGUAAACAAUAUACUAAACAACGAAACUGUCGCAAUCGGUCAGCAUGCAAAUUCUAGAUGACGCCGAAACAACGAUCAAUAUAUAUAACCAAUAUUUGGACUAGAAAAUCGUAUAAUGAAGAGAAAAUUGAAGAAAUCUAAGAAAAAGAUACGCCGUUGUUUCCAUGCAGGUUCAUCCUAUGCCCACGCCACGAGCCCACGGCUAUAGGGUAGAGCCAGUAACGCGCGGCAUCGACAUCAUAAGCAACGUACGAUACGGACUUCUGGGUCCAACCGGAAUUAGUCCACCAGCGCGGGUGCGCCGUUCCGUUCCUUUGCGUGGAUACAAAGGAAAACUCUCUGCCCACACGCACGUAGAUCUUGGAUUGGAUCGUGGCCUCCGGCCGACGACCCUGCUUCUGGCAUGUUUAGCGAUGAAAACGGACGGGAACGGAUAGGAAAACUUUUAACUAUAUCCCGUUCUAUAUUUUUUCUAUAUUUUUUCAUCGGGAAUGGAAACGGGAGCGGAAUAGCUUACGAAAACGGACAAAUAUGGAUAGAAAUACAAUGGAAAUGGGCAUGAACCGGGACCAUACGUCGGGAUGACAUGUUCAAAAGUCUAAAGUUUAGGCACAGGCAGACCGCAGCUCAGCAGCCACAAUCAGGCCGCAACUCAGCAGCACAGACCAACGUCAGCCACAGCCACAGGCAGGCCGCAGGCAGCCGGCACAAAAGAAUAGGCAGCAGCUGUAGUCGCACAAAAGAAUGUUAGGGGCCGGGCGGCGGCAGUUGGCAGAGGUGCAGUCGCGCAGCGGUGCAGAGGCAGAGCACAGUGCGGUAAGGGGUAGGCCGCAGGCUGGCACGCGGCGACAGGGGGCCAGGGGCCGGCGACGGCGGUGCAGGCGUGCGAUGGCAGGGGCAGACCGGCGACACCCGGCAGGGGGCCAGGGCAGGCGGCGGCGGGAUGGAUGGGUAACGGGUGAGGGCGAACGACCGAACAGGGACGAUGCCAGACACCAGGGAUUACGGUUGUUUAUUGGGCCUGUUGGGCUGGAUUGAUCGAUUAGGGUUUGGGGUUGAGGUAAUGAACUUAUCCCGUUAAAUUAGAAACAGGAUGAAUACGGGACCAUCCCAGAUUAAAAUGGGAUCCUGCAAAUACGGACGGGAUACCCCUUCAACCGUAUCCCGUCCUGUUCCCGGGUACCCCCAUCCCGUUUCCCGUUCCUGUCCCGGUCAACCGGACCUUACCGUACCAUUUUCGUAUACCUCUCGGACAAAUAUGGGAAAACGGACGGACGGUAACAAGGAUUUUGUCCGUCCGUUUUCAUCACUAGCACUGACGUGCAUAAGUAUGCUUGUACUUAACAAAACAAUGCUUUUAUGCUCGGCUAAAAUAAGAACGGAAAUCUGCCAUUCAGAUCAAUUUCAGUUUACCUAGUAAACUGUUGAGCUCAACAAACAGGAGAACUACAUCAGCAGUACUCUUCAGAUCAAGCAACAUAUCAUAUUCAAUUCAUCCACAACAUUGAGCAUGCAUAUAUUUUUGGAGUUUUUUCAUGGAAAAAGAAGCUUUCCUAGAAAAAUCAUACUGCCAGCACCAUAUAGAAUAUGCUAUCCUCUGCUCAAAUAAAUCAAUGAACAACAGCGCAUCACCAAUAGUCACCACAAGAGCAUAUCCCUUCCUCAAAAUGAUGAAAACGAUUGAUAUCUCUAACGAUGAUUUCCCGUUGAACAAUUUUAGAUAUCACUUUGAAUACGGUAUGGCAGUCCAAGCAGGAACGUAAAUUUUUCAUUACCCGUAUUGGGUGGCCAGGAGGUGUCAUAGCAAGUCCAUAUGCUAAAGCCAGCCUCUCGCUAUGCUCCCAUAGCAUGCGAGCUUUUUCUUCCUCGUCUACAUCAUGCAAAACUACGUCAAUGUCUGGAACAUAACCUUCCCUAAUGGCCUUCAGGUUUAGCCAUUCCAGCAUUGCAUUGAUUACUCGUAUAUCUGGAUGGUCUACUGAUCCCACUGAAAAGGCAUGAACUUUCCCCUUGAUCUCAACCCAACUAAGGCCAGCCUCUUUUUUUACACCUAUAUUCCUCAUUGAUUUCCUUAAAAGAGCAACUUGAUCCAAAAUUCCAGCUGCAGCAUACAUAUUUGACAGUAAGACAUAGGUUGUCUCAUCUUGUGGUUCAAUCUCAAGCACCUUCUCUGCAGAAAAUCUUCCCAGAGCUACAUUCUUAUGGACUAAACAUGAGCUAAGCAAGGCUCGCCAAACCAUAGCAGAUGGUGCUGAAGGAAUAUCCUCAAUAAACUUUAGAGCUUCAUUUAGAUGCCCAGCACGUCCCAAAAGCCUAACAAUGCAAGUGUAAUGAUCCAUAGACGGUUUGAUUCCAUGAUCCAUUCUCAUAGAGUUAAACAGAGAGAGUCCUUGGUUGACUAAGCCUGUGCUACCACAGACAGACAGGAGAGCAACAAAGGUGACAUCAUUUGCUUUUAUACUGGCUUUAUUCAUCCUGUUGAAAAGUUCCAAAGCAUCCCUGCCUCGUCCAUGGAGAGCAUAUCCUGAGAUUAUGGCAUUCCAUGAAAUCACAUCACAUUGUUUGAUAGCCUCAAAUACCUUUUGAGCAUCCUUAAUGCAUCCGCACUUGGCAUAUGUAUCGACCAGUGAAUUGCAAACCACAGUGUCACUAUUGAAUGUGGAUUUCUCAAUCAAGCUGUGAAUUUGGACAGCAUGUUUGAUGGAUGCUGUACUCGCACAAGCCCGGAGCACACUGGAGUAUGUAACUUGAGUCGAAAGCAUCUGCGCAGCACGCAUCUCUCGGAAAACACUCAAAGCAUCUUCCCCAAAACCAGACUGGCAGUAGCCAACAAUAACUGUGUUCCAGCUCACUUCGUUGGCAUCCCGUAAUGAUGAGAAAACCUCAAGUGAAUUUUCCAUGUUUCUGCACUUGGCAUACAAAUCCAUUAGUACAUUUCCAACAAAUAGUUCAGACUCAUAGCCUAACUUUAUAACAAGGUUAUGAAUUUGCUCACCCAGAUCAAAAAGGGCAAUAUUAGCACAAGCUUGCAGAACACUGGACAAACUAAAUUCAUUAGGCACUACAGAAGACCGCAUCAUUCUGAGGAACAUCUCAAAUGCGUGCUCAUUCUGAUAGCUCUGAGCAUACCGGGAGAUCAUAAAGCUCCAGGGUAUGACAUCGUCAUGGGGGAUCAUCUCAAAAAUAGUGCGGGCAUCCUCAAUGUCUCCACAUUUGGCAUACAUGUCAAGCAAAGCGCCACCAACAUGAGGCUCAGUAUCACAAAGGGUUUUGACUGAGCAACCAUGGAUGCCCUUGCCUAGCACAGUAGAUGACAGGCAAACUGCAGCCUUGAGCACACUGGUAAGCGCAAAAGGAUUAGGCUUGGAACCUGCCAUCCUCAUCUUAGAGAAAACACUAAUCGCAUCCUCAGGACUCUCAUUCUCAGAAUAGCAAGAAACCAUCGCUGUCCAAGUGACAACAUCCUUCCCGAUGAUCCCAUCGAAGAUGAGCCUCGCAUCACGGACAGCCCCACAAAGUGAAUAGGCAUCAAUAAGUGCUGAUCCCACAAAGGCAUUCCGUUCAUGGCCUAACUUGCAUGCGCAGGCGUGCACACUGCAGGCAAGCCCUGGAGCAUCCAUGGCAACCAGCAGCUUCAGGACCGUGGUGAGCACAAACUGGUUCACCUCGUGACCCUCCCUUCGCAGCCUCAGAAACAGCUUUGCGGCCUCCCCGAACUCCCCACGCAACGCGUGUCCCUGCACGAGCGUGACGAAGGACACCAUGUUCCGCUCUGGCAUUCCGUCGAACACCCUGCGCGCGGCGGCCAGGGGCCCGAGCUUCGCGUAGAGGUUGAGAAGGACGUUAGCGCAGAAGGUGUCCAGACGCGCCACCCCGCCUCGCUGCACGACGCGCGCGUGCAGGGCGCGGCCGGCGCGGGCGUCGCCACGCGCGAUGCAGCGCUGCAGGAACCUUGCGCUCGCAUAGGAGUCGAGCUUGGGGAGCGCGAGCGAGGUGAGCUCGUCGUCCAGCCACUGCAGCGCCGCGUUGGUGGCUAGGUCGCGGCGGGGCCGGCCAUUGGGUUGGUAGAAGAUAGGGUGGAGGAGGCGGAUGCGGUGGCGGCUCAUCCGGCGGCGAGGAGGGGGGCAACGACAGCGCGCUAACUUGAUUCUCGUCUGCUAAACCGGGCGCUCCCGGCUCCAUGAGACAAUGACAGACAACGAGCGCUGGUGUUUUUACAGUCAAUCUGACCCGUCGCGGCUCUCAAACGGCCCAGAUUGCUUUUGUGAAAUUGCAUUUAUUUCUUCAAAAAUGGGUUGGUUUAUAAUGUAAGCUGCAUAUAACAUCCUAAUUUACAAGAAAACUAACGACAUAUUCUUUUGAACUUUCGGGCAUUGUUUAUUUCUUGAUUGGACCAUAAUUGACCGUCAUUAUUUUUUUCAACGCUAUCUGAUAUGGCUAGUUUAUUGGGCAAGGAGUACAAUAGCAGAUCAACAGGUGCCUACUCGCCCUCCCUAGGAGGCUUUGAGUUAAGAUCUGUUUUGCUGCUUGGUCCUUUCCUAUGGUGCCUAGGCCCCUGUAUAUUGGGCCAGCCAACACACCUUAUUUGACAAGGACUCUAUCUCUAAUCCAAAUCUGUUACGAGCCAACAAACCUAAUCAGACUAGGAUUCUAUCCCUUAUCAGACUAGGACUUUAUCUCAAUCCUAAUCUGUUACAAUUCUUAACCAACCAGGACUCUAAACCUUUUCUAACUAAUCUGUUGAGUCCUGAUUGGCUGCUCCUUUGUUCCUUCGAUGAAACUUCUUGCCAAAGAAGUUGUCCACAACACUGCCCCCCCCCCUGAUAGAAAAGCUCGUCCUCGAGCUUGAAAUCAGGGUAGGUUUCCUUGAACUUGUCCAACGGCUCCCAUGUCGCAUCAGCAGUACCGCGGCCCGCCCAUUGCACCAAAAAGAUCCCAUGAAGUGGCUGUAGGCUUAGCACGCACCACCUUAUCCGGAGUAGGAACAGCCCGGCCAUGAACAACCGGUGGCAGAGUAACAAUCUGAUCAGGAAGAAGUCCCUGAUGUUUCUUCAGGUAGGCAACAUGGAAAAUAUCAUGGAUCCGAGCCUUCAGCGGCAAGCGAAGAUGAUAGGCCACCUUCCCAAUGCGUUCAACCACCUGAAAUGGACCAUAGAAGCGAGAAGCAAGCUUUGCAUUGGUCUUGUCAGUAAUACCUGCUGCUGAUCGGUGUGCAGGCACAACCAGGCCCAAUCGCCCACUUCAAAUUCCAGCUCCCUGUGAGCUUUAUCAUGUGUGGCCUUCAUAUAAUCCUGGGUCUGCAGGAGACGUUCCCGUAUCUCCGCCAAAAACUCAUCACGAUGCACAAGCUGCCGGUCCAAUGCUACUACACGUGCUAAACCCGACUGGUAGGACAAUAGUGAUGGUGGAUCACGACCAAACACCACACGGAAAAGGAGUGCAUUGCAGGGCAGACUGAUAGGAGGUGUUGUAGCAAUACUCAGCCCAAGGCAACCAACGCAGCCAACUGCGAGGACGAUCCCUGCCAAGCAGCGAAGAUAGACCCCGAGAACACGGUUGGUAACUUCAGAUUGUCCAUCUGUCUGCGGCCUGAAAGCGGAGCUAAGGCGCAAUUUAACACCAGCAAGGGUGAAGAGCUCCUUCCACAAUGUACUGGUGAAAAUGGGAUCACGGUCACUGACAAUUGAGCACGGAAGACCAUGGAGGCGAACGAUGCCAUCAAAGAAAGCCUGUGCCACUGACAGGGCGGUGUAGGGAUGACCCAAUGCGAUAAAAUGCGCCAUCUUAGAGACUGGUCGACCACUGUAAGAACAACUGACCGGCCACCCACCUUGGGAAAUCCUUCCACAAAAUCCAUAGCAAUGUCGCUCCAAACUGACUGGGGAAUAUCCAAUGGCUGCAGCAACCCAACUGGAUGGAGAUGUUCUGUCUUAUUUCGUUGACAGACAGCACAACCUCGGACAUAAUCACGAACCAAUUUGGGCGCAUGGGGGCUGUAAAAAGAAGAGCGCAGCCUGUACAAUGUUUUCUGGGUACCUUCAUGGCCGGCACCAUGGGCGGCAGCAAGGAGUUGUGGCCAUAGGGCAGAGGAGUCAGGAACAAAAAUGCGGCCCCGGUGCAUGACGAAGCCAUCAAUAACAGACCAUGCUGCCCCUGUUGUACCCUCUGCAAUUUCCUUUUUCUUGGCCUGUACUUCCGGCAAGGACGACACCUCCUCCUGAAAUUCUGCGAACAGGGCAAACUCCGGGCGAGAUAUGGCGUGGAUGUGGCUGGACAGGUUCUGUUCAUCCCUACGAGAUAAGGCAUCGGCUACUGUGUUUUGGUUCCCGGGCUUAUAUUCAACCUGGAAGCUAUACCCAAAGAGUUUGUUGACCCAUGUAUGCUGCGGAAUAGUGGACAAGCGCUGAUCAAGUAAAUGCUUCAAGCUGCAAUGAUCUAUGCGGAUAAUAAACUCCCUAACCCAAAGAUAGGGUCGCCAAUGUCGCACGGCCUGGACCAAACCAGUGAGCUCGCGUUCAUAAGCCGCAAGCUUAGCAUGUUGUGGCGCAACUGUCUUCCUGAAAAAAGCAAUUGGCCCAGCUCCCUGGUAGAGGACAGUGCCAAAACCCGACUCGGAGGUGUUGCAGUCCACAAUGAAUGGCGCAUCAAAAUCUGGCAGCUGCAACACUGGUGCUGUCGUGAGGGCUGUCUUAAGGGCCUCGAAUGCGGUCGUUGCCUCCGGACUCCACAAAAACACAUCCUUCUUUAGUAACACUGUCAGAGGAGCAGCAAUGACGUCGUAGUUGGCGAUGAACCGACAAUAGUAUCCGGUGAGGCCGAGGAAACCCCGCAGCGCCUUGACUGAGCAAGGACGAGGCCAAUCUUGGACGGCAGAAAUCUCGUCAGCAUCCAUUGCCACAGCGCCGUCGGUGAUGAUGUGACCCAAAUAAUGCACCUAGCGUUCCCCGAACACGCACUUGGAUCUCUUGAGGACGAGUCCGUGCGCACGCAGCAUAGACAACACGGCACGCACAUGCUGCAGGUGCUCGGUGAAGGAGUUGCUGUAGAUCAGGAUAUCGUCAAAGAAGACGAGAACGCAGCGGCGGAGGAACGAUCGGAGGACGUCGUUCAUCAAUGCCUGGAACGUAGAUGGCAUGUUAGUAGGCCAAAUGGCAUUACCAGAAACUCGAAGUGGUUGUGGUGCGUGCGGAAUGUCGUCUUCGCAAUAUCAUCGGGAUGCAUCCGGACUUGGUGAUAGCCGCUGCGGAGAUCAAGCUUGGUGAAGAACCGAGCGCCCUUGAGCUCAUCCAAGAGCUCCUCCACCACCGGAAUUGGAAAUUUGUCGCGAACGGUCUUGAGGUUGAGUGCGCGGUAGUCAACACAGAAGCGCCACGUGCCGUCCGCCUUGCGCACCAACAGCACUGGCGAGGAGAAAGCAGAUGUGCUAGGACGGAUGAUCCCUUGCUCGAGCAUGGCUUGGCAUUGGGCCUCAAUCUCAUCCUUCAGGAGCUGUGGGUAACAGUAGGGCCGCACUGCCACCGGAGCUGUCGUCGGAAGAAGAUGAAUGCGAUGAUCAAAGGCGCGCUGCGGCAGCAGCCCUGUCGACGUGGCAAAAAGAUCCACAAAUUCCUCAAGUAGCAGCCCAAGUAGGUUUGACGACUGAGCGGCGGCCAGUUGUGGGGAGGGUCGUCCGUUGACCCCAAUCCACUUGACGCGAUGAUCCUAGCGCCAAAAUGUCAUUGACAGCCGUGUGAAGUCCCAAAGGAUUGGCCCCAAGGUGCGAAGCCAGUCACAACCCAGGACGAGCUCGUAGCCAUUGAGCGGGAUGACGAACAGGUUGAUAGAGAACUCCUCCUAGCCGAUGUGGACGACAACGUUCCGGCAGACACCGGAGGCUGGAACGCGAUCGUCGUUGGCGACAUCGACGGUGAGGCCCGGGCGAGCCUCUAGAGUAAGCCCAAGCCGGGCGGCGGUGUCCGUGGCAAUGAACGAGUGGGUGGAUCCAGAAUCCACCAAGGCAGUGAGGUCCACAGCCUGGACAACGGUCGCAAGCUGCAAAGUGGAGCUUGUUUGGACACCUGUGAUGGCGUUGAGGGAGAUCGUCAGCUCGUCCUCAGCGGACUCCUACGAGACAUUGUCGUCGCCGUCUAGCUCCAUCCAGUAAAUGCCCUUCAUAGAGCACUACUUGGCGUGCUUGUGUGAGAAUUUCUCCAAGCAAUUGAAACAGAGUCCCUCGGGGUGGUGCUGCGCCAUCGCUUCUAGUGUCAGACAUGUGAAACGAGCGCCAUGUGAAGCCGCCGGUUUGAAAGGAGCGCCUGGAGUCGAAGAUGCCACACUAGAGGCUGUUGGUGUUGUUGGUGUCGUAGGAGGCUGGUGUAAAGUAGUGGAGAAUGACCCUGUGCGGCCAGAAGAGCGUGGCACAUGUACCAGGGAGCGGGCACUGUCAUCGACCACCUGGGAGCGUGAAGCGUCCCCACAUAAGUAGAGACUAAAUGUGAUCCAAUUACCAGUCCCAGGAGGCUGAUAACACAUUUAUUCAACAGAUAGUUCAGAAACCGUACAACUCCCGAAGGAGCGGGCGGGCAAGCCACACCCAAAGCAAGACUAAAGCGAUAACAAUACAAAUCCAAGUUGCAGUCCAGUCGGACUCCGGGCUGCAAUCGGAACUAUGCGUCAGCGGAAGCAUCCUGCAAAAGGGCCAACACCGCAGGCAGCGUUGGGUGCAGACGCAACCUCCUACUCGAAGUCCUCGGUGACGAAGUCCGGAUCCUCCUCUGAAGCAACAACAUAAGGGUGAGUACAAAAGUACUCAGCAAGUCCAACCCCAUCCACGGAGGGGGAUACAACAAGAAUAUGCAUAUGAGUCAACAAGGAUAUAGCCAUGGUUUAUUUGCAAUAAAGCUGUAUUUUCGACAUAUGCAGGGUUUCAUUUUAAAGAAGUUUCAUGAAAACAUUUUCUUAAUAAACGAUAUAUCAAGUGGGGUUGAUCCUACACAAAGGAUCCAAGUUUUAUCGCUACCGGACUCCCCGUCCGCCGUAGCGCACGGCACAACUGCCGGACACUUCCAAAAUUCCACACACCCACACACACCGUAAAUACCAGUCAUCCCCCAAAAGCUAGUUGUGUGACCGAGCCGUAACUCGUCCAAUGCCGUGGACACGGCUACCCGGAUAGGUUUUAACUCUGCAGAGGUUGUACACUUUUCCCACAAGUAGGGUACCGUAUCACGAUCACCUUAGUGACGGUACGAAUCCUAACAAAGCCAUUACCCACCUUAGACAAUACUGACUAGUCAACACGGAAGCACCCAAGGGGUUAGCAACCCAUCCACGGGGCCGAAACCGGGACCUAAGUCACCAAGAGCUUAGUCCUUUUCCAAGGGCUGCUCACCAGCGCACCUGAAGCCUAGCAGUUUAGCUAGUGGGGUUUAUGCUAAGCCGUUGCCCAUACAACGGUCGAGUGGUUGCACGAUGAUGGAAUUAGGCAGGAUGACACAUCAACUCGGUCCUUAGCCAUGACAAGAUGGAUAACUCCCACUCUGCUCAACCACUAAGGUACGAGCCCAACAACCCGGCAUUCCACACAAGAAACGCCCAUCCAUCUCAUCCACCACCUCUCUUUACACCCGAAAACCCAACUCCUCAGUUGAACAUACUCACACAUUUAUUUUCCGAAUAAACAGAUGUAGUCAUGAUUGAAGUUGGGUAAUGAGUUCCUAAGCAUUCUAGCAGUAUUUAUCAUCUAAACAGAGCAACUCAUAUUUAGAGAUAAAUAUGGGACAACAAGGAAUAAUCAUAACAAUCAAGGGGUGGCUAUCCAACCAUGUCUUGCGAUAAACAAUAUGCAUUUUCUAAAACAGGCCAAUAGGUUGUGUCUGAAAAACUGGGUAUUAAAUAUGCAUCAAAGGGUGAGAUUGGACUUGCCGUUCUCAAAGCCUUCCGGGAGCUCCUGCUCGCGGUACUGGUCCUCGGGCUCGGGCUCGCGGUCAAACUCCUCCUCGCGCUCCUCCUCGGGUACUCCGCGAUCUACGGCACACACAAACGAGCACACAAUAAAUAAAAAGGAAAAAGAUUUUACCUGUUGAGCUCCGAACAGGAAAUGUGAACGGAAAAUAGACAGGAAUGGUAUUCUUAUGAAAUUUUGAUAUGCCUCAGCGGGAAUAUAUGAGAGGAGGCCGUGGUCGAAUUUGGGAUCGAUUGGAGGAAAAUUGGCGCAUGAAAUGACAAGCUAAAGGGAGGUUUGGGCUUUAAACAGUAUUUAGGACCGAACUGUGAAAACCGAGGGCCUAUUUGUAAUUUCUCUAAAAAGUGGAAGGGCUUAUUUGCGGAAAUUCCUGGAGAGAGGUGGAGGGACCAGGUUGUAAAUAAAGGAAACUAGAGGGGCAGAUCGGAAAUCGAGUUUUUCUUCUUCUUCUUUCCUCUGCUUCAGAACAGAGGUGGGGGAAAACACGGCCGGCGGCGGGCCGGCCAGCCGGCGUGGCCCACCGGCGGUGGGGCCGAGCGACGGGGAAGAUAGUGGAGGGUGAGAGGAGUCCAUUUGACUCCUCACCUUGGGUGAUUUGUGGCCGGACCCAGGGGGCCGACGGCGGCAAGGAAGUGGCGGCGGAGGUCUUGGUUGCGGCGGCGGUUGGCACUGGGGAAAGCGGAGGGAGGAAGGCCGGCGAGCUUGGAGAUGAUGUUGGAGGUGUGGGGGAGGCGGCCGAGCUCGGCCCCUCUUAUAUAGGCGGCGGGGAGGGAGGCGCCCGAGGCGGCGCGGCCGGUGAUUUGACGGCGGCCGAACCUGUCCGGCGGGUGGCGUGCCGGAGUGGUCGUGCGUGUGGUAGGCGUGGCGGGGAGGCGUGGUCGUCAAGGCACACAGGGGCGGCGACUGCGCAGGGAGUCGCGCCGGAGGGGGGGUGUGCGGCGGCCGGCGGGCGACCCGGCGUGGCCGGCGGCGCUCAGCGCGGCACGCGCGACCUGGCGGGCAGAGGGGCGCGGCGCGGCGCGGGCGAGCACGGGCGGGGCAGGCGGCACGGCGCGGGCGACGCGGGGUGGACGGCGCGGCGCGGACGGCGCGGCGUGGGCGGCGCGGCGCGGCGCGACGCGGGCCCGCGCGCGUGCGGGUGCUGUGCGCGCAGGGGAGGGCAGCGCCCGAGCACGCCAGGGAAGAGGGCCAGCGCCUGAGAGGGAAAAGGAGGAGAGAGAGAAAGGAGAAAGGUGGAGGGAGAAGAAGAGGAAGAAGGAAAAAAAAUGAAGGAAAAGGAGAAAGAGAAAGGGAGGAAGAAAGAAGAAGAAAAAGGGGAAAAAGGCGGUGAAAGAUUCAGGACUUGACCGGCGUGCGUGAUGGAUUGGAUGGGCAUGCGGUGAAAUUUACGGGGAGCGAAAAAAGAGGGUUGACGAGCCGGGGCCGGGACGGCGGGUCCGACGGAAGGGGGAAGAUUUGACGGAGCUCAGCGGUCGGAAAAAUUUUGGAAUGCAUUUUUAGCGAGUGAUUUACUUGGUAGAUUUUUACGGGCGUUACAGAGCGGCGUUCGUAGGCACGGGCCAGUGCCAUGGCGUCUUCCAAUGUCUCGGGCUUCUGCAUCUCCACAUCGAUGCUCAUGGGCUGAAGGAGACCGGCUGAGAAGAGGGCGACCUGCUGCUGCUCAGAGACGCCCUCGCAGCGUGCUAGGAGGUUGAGGAACUGUUCCUGGUAGUCAUCAACGAAGCCCAUGCGGCGCAGAUGGGCCAACUCGCCGAGAGGGUUGCUGCGCACCAGAGGGCCAAACCUUUUGUUGACACUCUCGACGAAAACUAGCCAAGUAGGAACGCCGCGAUUCUUCUCCAGCCGAUAGUACCACUGUCCGGCGGCGCCCUCCAAGUAGAAGGUCGCUGUCCAGACCUUCUGAUCUUCCAGCGUGCCCUGCGAGCGAAAAAACUGCUCGCACUUGUGCAGCCAGCCCAGGGGGUCUUCAGAGCCGUCGUAUUUGGGAAAACGAAGCUUGUGCACAGGCAACAGCGGCUGCCCAUACUUCCCAACGGUCGUAGAUGAGGAAGCAUGGGUAUUGAAGCUGCCGUUCUUCUGCAGAACUUGAUUCUGGACAUUGCUGAUCAAGGUGGCGAGGCGCCCUUGUUCAUGGCGGACAGCAGCGAGCUCGCUGUCCAACUUCAUGCUGAUCUCAUUCAUCUUGGUGAUCAUCCUGGCGACGGCAUCAUCGAAGACAGCCUGGGUGACGAAGGAAUCGCCCAUUGUUGCGGUGGAAGCGAUGGGGCUGGCGGCGCGCAAGGGAGGAUGGGGCGUUGGGGGUCUGCAACGUGGUAGCAGGGAGAGGCCAAGGAAAUUCCCAGUUGAUACCAGAGAUGAUAUGGCUAGUUUAUUAGGCAAGGAGUACAAUAGCAGAUCAACACGUGCCUACUCGCCCUCCCUAGGAGACUCUGAGUUAAGAUCUGUUUUUCUGCUUGGUCCUUUCCUAUGGCGCUAGGCCCCUAUAUAUUGAGCCAGCCAACACACCUUAUUUGACAAGGACUCUAUCUCUAAUCCAAAUCUGUUACAAGAGACUAGGACUUUAUCUCAAUCCUAAUCUGUUACAAUUCUUAACCAACCAGGACUCUAAACCUUUUCUAACUGAUCUGCUGAGUCCUGAUUAGCUGCCCCUUUGAUCCUUCGGUGAAACUUCUUGGCAAAGAAGUUGUCCACAACACUAUCAUAUUUAUAUAGACAAAGGAUGCUGCACUUAAAAAUUUAUUUAUGCUGCCAUCUGUGUGAAUUUACUAGUUGAUUCAGUGUGAACUCAAUUUCAGUUAGUCUAUAAUUCAUUAUUUACAUAUAUUCUGUGAGAUGUGAACUCAACGCAAAUUAUGUGCAAAUNNNNNNNNNNNNNNNNNNNNNNNNNNNNNNNNNNNNNNNNNNNNNNNNNNNNNNNNNNNNNNNNNNNNNNNNNNNNNNNNNNNNNNNNNNNNNNNNNNNNCACGGUACAACUUCAACGCAUCGAUAGAUGGAUUAUGUUUUGUGUACCAUUUACACGUUAAGUGAUACAUGUGAGAAUUUAGUGCAAGUUUAGUGGCUUGCCAUGCAUUUUACUCGUCACUAUGUAAACCUACGAGAUCUCCAAAUACAACCAUAUAUUUCUAUUUACCAGUGACGACAACAUGCUACAGAAAAAUCUUAAUAAAACAUAAUAAAAGAGAAAGAUACAUCGAAUAAAAAGUUGGUGUAAAACCCAACGGCAAGUAACUCUUUACCCAUAGUCUCUCUUUAGGUGAUUUUCUAGUUAUUCACAGAUAAUGCUCGAAGUACUAUAUGCACCAUGCACCUCACCACCUGUUCAUUUGCUAGACGGCUUUAUACUAGUCUGUACUUUGUAUGCCAAGAGUUUCAGCAUAGUGUAUGGUCCAAUAUCAAGCAACCGUCUACGCAACAUUUGCUCCACAAAUGUAAGCAUAAGCUAUAAUUUCCAUGAUCGCUUAUCAUGAAUACAAUUUCAUGCUACAGAUGGAACCCAACGCGUCCUUUCUUUGCAUGGCUCGGCGCAAUCAGCAGUACCUUAAGAGUUUUGCUAGAACCAGGUCAAAGUAACUUGCAUUAAGUUAUAUAAAAAAAGGAAAUCUGCAUUAUUUUCCUACUUGAAUUGAUUAAGUAUCAGAUGGUGUCCGUAAUAAACGUAUCAAAAGGAGAUUAUUGUAGAUUAGAAAAAUCUGUAAUAUAUUCAACACGGUUAAAUAAGAAUUGUCGGCAUAACACAGCGAGAAUUACAUCAGCAAACUAUGACAACCCAAAUCCUGCUAUUCCUCCUUAUCAAAAAAAAAAAUCCUGCUAUUCCUAGUUUCCUACACACAUUCUCACAUCAUUCUGCGCCGUCCAUCCAUCCAAAACAAUAUCUCAAGUUAGGACACCCACUCACCCUCAUGCCUCAUCUCAAGCAUUUGAUACCCGGCUCUCUUGCACAUCUCGCCAAGAAAAACUCUCCGUAACCAGACUCCAAGCCAUGCAACAUAUGCCAUUAAAUCCAGCAGCAAGCACAUAUGACGCUCUGAGCCUCUGAGCUCAUGGCAAAUUCAUCAUCUGAAAGCAUAAGGUCAACACUGUGAAGGCCACAUUGACAAAGAUGGAUGAAGAGCCUCUUUACAUUUUUGUACUUCUCAGUUCCAAACAAUAGAUCUCUUGUUACCCAACCCCUAUAUAACAUCUGCCAGCUAAACAUCAUACUACAGAUGGCCAAAAUUUUGCAGCAAGCAGCGCUGCAAGCUCACUAGUGGUACAAAUACAAUUAAGGCGACACCUAUACUUUUCCUAUCUCCUGAAAUGGAUAUUGACAACGGUUGGCUGCAUAUAAGUCUGCUGUAUCGAAAGUGCGAAUGGGAAAAAUGGGUGAAACAAGAAGGACGAGAUUCUUUUUGCUCUGCUGUCAGAAGCACCAGAAUCUGAACCUGCAAAGUAAAGGAAAAGGAUAUAGUCAUGCCAAGUAGAAAUAUACUAGGAAAACUCAUGUUUUGGCCACUUGCAGAAAUAAUCAAUACAUUUUCCUUGUGGUGUACCCUAACAAUGGUGGUUUGUUCCCUUGUCACAGAGGUAAGUAACCUACAGCUCAGUACAGGUACAUGAUUCAUGAACGUACUACUGCUGUGUUGGCUUAAUGACUGUAAUUGCACUUGAUACAGGCUAUGUCGGUAUAUUGCCACACAAGCUAGCCCUAGAAUCUUAGCACAUGACCACACCAAUGGGCACUACCUGGCUUGAUCUUAAAUCUGACAACAUUUGGUGACCUCACUGAUAUAAAUUUUAUUGGAUGCUCUGUGCAAUGCCGAUGCCGAUCAAUUGCUGAAAUCAGCUGCAAGGGAUAAGGAGAAAAAUUACCACAAGUCAGAACAGAGAAGAAAAAAUAGUCAUAUCAAUACGUCAUACACUUUAACCUAUAUAUGGCAAGCCAAGAUGAUCAGAGGGCUAAUGGAACUGCAUAGAACAACAAAAUGGUGGAAACUGUCAAAUUUCUACCUACUGAGUAACCCCUUGUACAGCAUUGAUUGGUAUAUGUGAUAUUACAGAAAUAUAUGAAUUGAAUUAGCAAGGCAAUUUUUCUCAUUGCUCAUUUUGCAGGGUGGUGAUAUAUAAAUUGAAUUAGCAAGGUAACCCGUUGUAAAGCAUUUUGAAUCAGCAAGGAUUAUGGCUACUAAAUUUCAAGGAGAACAAAUUUUCAGUGGACUGAACUACUCAAAAAUGCUAAUACCCAAUGUGACGAGGAGAAAGGGUGGUGAUAAGAAUGAUAACACAGUGAAAAGUACGUGAUGUAUUUCCAGUUUUUAACUUUGAGCUUGACUACAGGAGCAAAAAUUAUACAAGUGAUAUCCAAACAAGAAACUAGACAAGCUGUGCACAUACACUGCUUACACAGUAUAUUUUAAACGAGUCACAGAACAUACCUUCUCAUCAUACCUAAAAAGGGAUAGAUCAAAAUAUGGUGAAGGGCUCUGUGAUUGGCAAGUGUAAGGCAAUGACGCCAUCAUCUUUUUCACAAACUGACAAACAUAAAAUAAGAAGUGUUUAAUCGUUUACCAAAAGCUUCAGCAUAAAAUCUUCAAACAGAACAAGGUAACUGGUCACAAAAUAUCUAUUAAGAGAUUAAGUGCCUGAAAAUGAACAAUGAGAAAGAAAAAUAAAAAACCUUAAUUGCCCAUAAGCACCAACUGAGUAACAAGCAAAAUAUCUAUUACAAUUACUACUUUAGAGUUAUGUUUUUUUUUGUGGUGGCGGCAGUGGCAGUGGAUCAUUUACCUCAUCCCUGCAUCUUAAACCUCCUAAACAAACAGCUAACAAAAACAAAUAAACUCAACUAAACAAAAAAGGCAAUAAAAGUAAAUAAAUAAUAAACUCACCGAACAAACAUUGUUUUUCAAUGCAUUACAGUCUUAACCCAAAAAAUUUCUCCCACUGUUAAAAACUUUCUUUCCUUGGUUGUCUAAACCUUCACCCUCUAAAAUAUCCCUGUCACCACCAAUGAAAAAUGUGGUAGGACAUCCCACAGCCAUCACCCUCUUUCUCUCCAUCACGUAAGGCUACCUCUCACAAUAUAGGUUGUUCUCAAUCUAAGGCUGUUCUCAAUCUAACUGAAUUACCGAAAGCUAUGGGAUAUGAGUCAUGAUGGCAGCCCAAGGCCAAAGGAGCAGGACAUGGCAUACAGCAGUGGAGUUGAGAGCAUAGUUAGGCCAAGCACAAUGGUCGAGGUGUGAUGGGCAAGGAUAUAGCUCGGCUAGGCACCAUCAGCUGCAGCCUGCAUGGCUCGAGGAUGCCAUGGGCAGUGGGGUGACUACGGCUGCUUCUCCAAGAUCAAGAUCUCUCAAGUGGAGCCAGAUACCAUCAGUGGCCCCAUCUCCAGCGCUCCGCCUGCUCGCAUACGGACUAGCUCGGGCGGAUCGUGGUGGCGCGGAGCACUUCCUCCCCUUUCUCUCUGUUCAUUCUCUCUGAAACUUCCUGCCACCAGAAAUAACUGUCGAUAGGGGAACGUGGAUGCAUAGCCUUCAUUUGGGUGAGGGGGUUGGUUUUUGGUGAUCAUCAAAAAAUAAUGGUAUUGGUAAUAGGAUUUGUUAUCUGCUGGAGCCCAUCUAAUCUCCAAUAUGACAGUUUUUUGGUAAUGGGGAUGAGAAGUGUAACCUGCUGGAGAUGCUCUAAGUCUUCUAACAGCCACAAAGGGCAGCACUCAUCAAAGUGUCAAAAAAAUGUGCAUCAACUUGUCGGAAAUUAAUGUGCAUUAACUAGUAGUAUUUGAUACCUCUACUUUUCUGCAGCAAGAUGAGAUUUGUUCUAAUAUUAACAAGCAAACAAUACACGCUAGGUUUCAUAUAUACUGGAAGACACACUCAAACCUCAAAAACAAGAAUUCAAUGCUAGUAUAAUACAACCACCAUGUCCCUAACAUAUUAAAUACCAAGUUAAUUGACCCUUAAGUUGAUGAGACCAGAGAUAUUUGUAUUCUAAUUAUCAAUUAAGAAAAGAAAUACUUCAUCAAUAAAAUUGCUGUACUGAAAUAUGCUGUAAAAUAUAUGUGCUGCAUUUAAAAACAUACACUGGAGAUCCAGUGUUGCUAUAUACAUAUAUCUAUAUAGUUUAGUAUUUUGUUCUGUGUUAAGCGUUGCACGAGUUUGCAAUAUGAGGUGACAUCAAUGGAAGAUCAAAUGUGCAGGUUAUCAUAUCUUGUCGAACCAAGAGCUCAAUGGUCUUUUAAACUGGAUCAUACUUGUUCUAUCAAUAUUACCUGUGAGGAGCUGCUUGCUUUAUUUUUUAUUGUGCGAAGUUGAUCGAGAGCAUGAAUAUCAUUGGAGUGCGACGAGAUAAAUUUUCCAUGUGAUGAAUCUUGUGGAUUUGCAUGAAAAUGGUCAUAGAAUUGUUCAAACAAGGAAUAGAGCUCCUCCGAUGAGUUCUGUUGACAAUUUAUAAAAUUAACUCAACACACUAAGAAGAUAUACCGCAACGUGUAAAUCUGUUUCCAUGGCCAUAAAAAUACCUGGUAAAGGGAAAUGAUAUCCGUUGUCUCCAUGUUAUACACAGCAAAGAAUGCUAAGUUUUGAUCAGUGCUUCGAGAAACCUAGAGAUAUCGAAAAAGCGUUUGCAGUUACAAUUAGAUGACAAUCAAGGUAUGCAACAUCGACUGGCAGGAUGACAGAAAAGAAGACUUACCCCUCCAUCCACACUACCAAACUUGAUGAAUAGGUGAUGUCGAUCCAAAAACUGUACCUGAUCAACUAGCAUGCUGUAAGCACCUUUGGAAAAUAAUUUCUUAAGAGAAAAUAGUCUGUUUAGCAAACGACACAGGCCCUGACAUCAAGCUCAUGCUAUUGCUAAGAGCUAGCCAGCUGAGCUAAAAAGGAACUACAGUAAGUGACAGUAAAGAAUUACAGAUCUUUUCAACUAACAAGAAAAAGGGAAGAUAGGACAAUGUUAAAACAAAAAAACAGAAGAAUAUGAUGUUGGUAGUACCUUCCAUAUGAUAAGAUCAACAUAGUCUUGGAAGUGAAAAUAGAACUUCUUCUUGAGAUGCUGGACCCUCUGCAAACAAAUACAAUACUUCAAAGUUCAACCAAGAGAAAACAUUUUCACUUUAACAAAACAUGUUACAAAGGCAUUAAUAUCACAAAUGAUGGAGUAAGCAAAUUAGAAAUAAUAAUGUUAUCGUCCCAAGUCUCAACAUUCCAAACGAAGCCACAAUCACUAUGCCAACAAGGUUAGAUAAAGUAGUCAACUUUGUAAAUGACAAAUAGGGGGCAAAUUUAAAUAAGAUAUAGCUUUCUUUAAUUAUUUAAAAUAAUGAGAUUAAUCCAAAGAGUAUAUGUAAAUGACAUAGAAUCAACAUAAGUUCAAAUACUGCUGGAAAAUGAUUCAAAUGAGAUAGUAGCCUAACCAAAGUCUCAUCUGGAACUUCGUUCCAUGUCUUGCGAAAAAUAUACGACAACAACCGUUGCUUGAUGCCAGGAAGAAACGAACCCCCAAAACCAGUCUGCAUCAAUCAAAUUCAUUAAAAAAAUCAUAGAUAAUUUUUCUCAUCCAGAUAUAUCAUGUACAACAGUACAAUUUCAACACUAGAAAUAAACAAUCAAAUAUUCCAGCAGAAAAACACAUCUGAAAAGUCAUAUCAUACAGUGAUACAGAAUACAAGCUUUCCAAUCAGAACCGAAAAAUACAUGCUACGGGCAAAUAAUUUUAAUAAAAUAAUAAUUACUAGAAUAACAUGACCUGUGGAAAAGAGUGAAUUAAGUCGCAAGAGAGUACUAAAUGACAGAGAACUAUUGUAAUAUUAAGGUUGUGGAUAAUUAUAAAUUAUUUAAAGGAUAUAAGUUAUGGGCAACUAAUUUACAUAGUGCAUUAAUAAAAAAUAAACUGAACCAUUAAAAUCCAUAUAUUUUACAUAGCGAAUGCUAUGAGCUCACAUCAUUGUCAAAUAGGCACCGUAUUAUGUGAAGUCAAACUGAUGGAUAUUGAAACCAUUCUCACACACAAGAUAGAAUUUUGUUUGAUACUUGUUCAUAAUUUAUACCCUUUAGUACAUCAUGUUUGCAGUUUACACCCUUUUUUUGACGGAAACGGCAGGGGAGGCCCCUACCCAUGUUUUUUUACACCCGUUGAUACAUAGUUUGAAGAACAAUCAAAGUUGCUAUCUGCCAUCAGGAUACAUUGUGUGGCAUGAGCUCUGGAGACUUCUUUCACGACCCAUGCUGCUACUAACAUACACAUUUCUUUAGUUUUUAGACAAUAUCUCGUGACCCAUCAAAAUUGGACAGGUUGCAAGUAAAGCAUGGCAACUGCUUUCCUUCUGCAAUCAAUCAUAUCAUCUAGCAAAAAAUACCAUUUCUCACACAUUGCUGUCCAAAUAUGACAAACCAGUACUUAAGCAAGUGACACUUGUAGUACUUCUAAUCUGGUAACAAAGUUAACAUAAACAUCUAAACACCUAUUAUCCCAUCAAACUGUUACUGCAAAUUACAGCACCUUUUUCAUCCUUUCUGAUGUGUCAAUGGCAAUAAACAAAUGAUUCUGAGUUGGUAAUAUAAAGGACAAAAGCUUCUAGUGUCAUUUCUAUUUUUCAAGUAUCUCUAAUACAAAUAAAGAAUCCAAAUUCAGUGUUGCAAUACUUCAGACACAAUAAAACACUAAUAACAGACAAAAUUCCCAGGCAAUCACUAUGUAUGUGGUUAAUAUGCAGACAGACUAGGGCAGGUACCAACGGGCAGACCACCUCGUAAUCUACUCCCUCUGUUUCAAAAUGUAAGUUCUAGCUUUGUCUUAUGUCAAACUUCUCUAUUGACCAACUUUAAAGAAAAAAGUGCACCAACAUCUACAACAUCAAGUUUGUUUCAUUAAGUCCACCAGAAAUAUGUCUUAUACUGCAUUUAUUUGCUAUUGUAAAUUUUAACAUAUUUUUUUAUAAACUUGGUCAAAGUGAGAUAAGUUUGACUCAGAACAAAACUAAAACCUCUCAACAUUUUGCAAUGGAGGGAGUGCAUUGAUAAUUUGGAUCGGUAUUACAAUGAUACUGUCAGAUAGAUUAAGGUUGAUAUUUGAUGAGCGAUGACCAUGCAAAACAUUGUAGACAUGUCCUAAUUGAUAUAUUAAUAAUAGUAUGUACAGACCAUUUAACGUGAGCAUUUUAUAAGUGUAUGCCAAAAAAAACUUAAUAUAAAGUAAGUAAAAUACAACAAAUUGCAGUACUAAGAUUUGCAAAUACCUGAACAUGUGAGUGAAGAAAUAGCUCAUCAUCUUCCCGGCAGAAAGCGCCAAUUCUGCGUACCUCAACAAGGUUGCCUGAAUCUCGGAUCUGUAGGAUAUGUAUUGUUUGAUAUCUCAGAGAAACAAUACAAAGCAGGUCCUCAUACAAGUAAGCACCAAUACUAUGUGCCAGAUUGAUAAAAUCAUUGCAGAAAGCCUUUUCAUCCAGUAUGACGCCAUCUUCUAGCCUGGUAACACAAAUACAGAUGUCCUAAUCCACCCAAACGAUGGAAACAAUGGUUACAAAAUAUAUUGUAACUGACCCCAAAAAAUGCAUUCCUCCUGAGACAAGAACUACCUCACAAGAUAGAAAGUUAUUUUCUCAAUUGAUGGCACGCCAUGUAUUGCACCCUCAGUGGCAGUUGAAUCAUUACUUUGUGCAGUUGAUGUUGCAAAUAAGCCAAAUUGAUGGCCCUCCAUGUACAGGAAAAAGUCCUUGCAAAUGUACUCAUUGCUGGAUGCAAGCGGAAUUGAGUAGAGCUGCUUAAAGAAGCUAUCAAACUUCUUUGCUUUUGGUGGAAGAUCAUGAGAACCACAUUCUUCAUUGCAUGAAUAUGUCAACCAGAUGGGACGGUAUACAAUCAAAUCUUGGUGGUUUCGGCUAAAGGCCACAAGAUAUUUCCCAUCAUCAGUGAACUUGCGAAAUGAAUAGUCUGGGCAAUCAAUGUCAUAUAUAGUGUAGCUUGGAACCAAAUUCUCAUAGAACUGUCUAAUAGUGUUAACCUGUCAGAGGUAUGGAAAGAACAAAAAGCAGCUUAGAUCUCCUUACAUGAUCAGAGAACAAUUGGAAUUUAAUUUGAAUAUAAUUUAAGUUUGAACACAAAAGAGCAUGCUAUCACCAAUAAUCAUGUGUUGCUACAACAUUCACCAAGGCAAAAGGCUAUAUGAAAGUAUUUCCAGAAUAUUCCGAAACAAGCAUGAGCUGUGCGUACAUAACAAAACCAUAUGAUAUAAAUCACAUUGGUCCAGAGUCUUCCUCUUUCACUUUUCAUCAUCUAACCUAAAUAUAGAAGACCACAAAUAUAAAAAAAACAUUACAGAAUACUAUUUUGAGAUUUUUUAAGGUUUUGAAAAUAAAUGAUUGAUUGUUCAGUUAUCUGUUGUAGAGCAUAAUGUUUUUCAGUUUCUAUAUGCUAUAAUUAAAAAAAUUUAGAAGUAGUCAAUGUGGAAUGCUAUAUCAUUGUUCCAGACUUUCAAUGUCAAGUUGGGCACUAUAUUACAAUCAUUUUCCAUUUGUUAACACAAACUAUAUAGCUAACAGAAAUACACAACGAUGUCUAUUGACAAGGUACUCUUGUCUAAUAAUUGAUCUAUUUAAUGUAUGAUCUGAAUAAUCCAAGCUAACCCACGCUCGUUUGGAGCAUGGCUUAGCGACAGUGUUCACAAGGCUUGAUUUAGCUUUGGCUAUUUUCCAGCACUUCAGCGCUCUUUGCAAGUAUGAUGGUCAUAGUUCACUAGGUCAUUAGGUAUGUUAUCAUCUUGAGCUUCCAUGUCCUACUGCAUAGAGAUCACCAUAGCAACCCUAGCAAGCCCAAAAAGGCACAACCCUAGAUCACCAUAGCGGGCGGCUUGGGGACCUGCUGAGCAGCGGCUUCGGCAGUUCAGCGUGAGGCGGCUUAGGGCCCUGCAGCGGCAAGGGAGGCAGAGCUCCUGGCGGCAACGGUAGCGUGCACGGCGGGGACGCCCGUGGUGUGCGCGGUGCUGUCUGGUGACACUGUGGGGACGCCUGCGUUAGUCACCAGCGCCGACAACAAGGUUAGCAGCCAUGGUGGUGCGCUGUCGAUGCCUGCUGGUGUCAAUGGCGUACGAUGUGUGCAUGCAGCGUUGUGCUGCCCGGACGUUGGGGGCAUCUAUUGUCGUGGCAGGGCCAUGCUCUGGUCGUUCUCUCGUGGGUGGAUCUGUUGAGGUCGAGGCGAAAGCCUAGACAGCGACGUCUCUGCACCUCUCCGUCCUACCCUGCUGCUGGAGGAUGCGGGUGAAAACUCUACCCUUUUGGGAUGGCGUCGACGGCGCUAUUGGCGUCGUGACCUUCUUGAAGGCGAUGACAAGCAUCCUCGCUUGGUGAUUCGGCAUUCUCGCUUGGCUUGGUUGCGGCGGCCACUUGGGCAUUUUCUCUCUUUUCUCCUUUUCUUUUCUCAAAAAGUGAAAAACCAGAAAAGAGCAGGUGUUGGUGAUGGUGCUGGCGCUUGGAAGGUGACGGCACUUUCUUGAUGUGGCAAGUGAUGCUUCGGAGGUAUCGAGCCCGCUUGUGGUGGUGUGCAUGAGCGGUGAUGUUUGUGUUGGUUGUGUCGAUGUCCCAAUCCGACCAACCGGAGUUGUUUGCUUGAGAUGAGUUGGGUUGAGUUUGACGCGUGUUGAUGUCCCAAUCUAACCACGGUGUCAUUUGUAGAGUUGAGUGAUGAGGGCAUUGUGUGGCGCGUGUUGACGUCCCAAUCCAACUGGUCGUUGUGGUUUUUUAGUUGUUUUUUUCAUUGGUUGUAUCACCCAGUCUGGGAUUCAUCUUUUUUUCAAUAGAAUCGGCAGCUCUUCUACCUAGUUCGUUAAAAAAAAGGCACAACCAAAGCUAAUCACACAAGAGGCAAACCCCAAAUAGCAACUACAGCUAACCCUCUCGAGACCAAAGUCGCGGUUCUCCCGCUCCAGGGAAGGAAGCGAGCCACAAUUUGGCCGCCCUCGACGCACCGACCACAGCCACACGAUCCUACCAGGCACGACAUGAAUCGAACAAGGAGCAGAAGAAGGGAGGGGAGCAAGAUGAGGAAACGUACGGCAGCGCCGGGGCGCGGGGAGAGGAGCUGGCGGUCGAAGACCCUGGAGGCGAGGUUACCGCUGCGGAAUAAGCGCACCAUCUCGGUCACCGCGCCGCGCGUGGCCGCCUCCGCGGCUGCAGCAUCGCACGCUCGCACUCGCGAGGCGGGUGGGGAGGUAGAGAGGAAGGAGGGAUCGGACGUCUGCGCUGGCGGGGAGCUCGUGGGGUUCUCGGAGAUGCGGCGGCGGGAGUGUGGGGGCAGGGAGGGGAAGGGACAAGGGAGGACCGGAGAGGAGGGGAUCUUCGCUUGUGGCGGUGGUGAAAUUUUGGGGAGCGGACGGGAUGGGAGUGGCGUGGGGAGCGUGUGGGGCGAGGAGUGGCGAGUGUGGAGUCACAGGAGUGGGUCCCGGCCCGGGGAAGUUGGGACGUGAGGCCAGUGGGUGAACACGAGGAGGGGUGGCUUGGGGGCGUUUACGCCUUACCAGGCUUGGGUCAGGCACGAGCUAGCUGGAUGACGUCCCGAGGCAGACCUACGGCGUGCAAAAGAUGCCCACCAGCUUACCCCGCGUGGAACGUCAAAAUUGAUCAUUCCAUGCAACGUAGGCUCGAAGGGGUGGUUGCGGUGACCUCACGAAACGCAUGCUCGGACCGGCAGAGACUAUGAUGGUGCCUAUAGCUGCGGAGGCACACGGCGGCCCCGGCAGCGCGCGGAAGAGGCAGCCGGCGGGGGUCGCGGUGGUGCGUGGAGGACGAGGCCAGCGGGGUCAUGGAGGCGCGUAGCGGUGUGCGGAGGAGAUCACAUGCAUGAGACUCCUCCUGGUCGUCGCGGUACACUCCGAAGAACCUGAGGCUAUCAUCGGCGCCAUCGCCAAGGAACGAGGCCCUCACAGCCACCGUGGCUAGUGUUGUCAGCCGAGCUAGUGACAAGGACAUCCUUCAACCUUCAUGUCAAUCAUAAAUCUAUGGGUCCAUCGGAAGACUUGUACAGUCCUUGAUACAAGGUUGUACACCGAGACAUGUCAAAUAUGGAAACUACGGUGCAGGACGGCGUGGUCUAUGUGGAGGAUAAGAACUCAUCGAGUAUUAGAAAACUACUCGUAGCGAUUAGAGUAGGACUCUUUAGUCAAAUCCGACUAUUAUUCUUGUAAACAACCGACUUAUAACCCUACCUCCAGCAAUAUAAGGCAAGGCAGGGACUCUCUCCAAACAAGUUCAAUCAAUACAACCCAACCAACACACAGGACGUAGGGUAUUACGCAACAUAAGCGGUCCGAACCUAUCUAAAUCGUGUGUUCGAGUUCACCAUCGAGUUCCUGAUCUCGGCGAGCCCCACGCAUAAAACACUACCUCGGGUACCCCCUUAGUAAGUUGCCGGGUCUAAACACCAACAGUUAGCGCGCUAGAUAGGGGCUCUCGCCAAAGAUCCAUCUACGAACUCGGUGACUCAAGUCAUCAUCAAGCCCACCAUCGCAUUUGAAGCAGGCGCGACGUUCGUCUUUGAAUCCUGGGUCUGCGUCGUGAAUGGUGCUGGAAACUUCCAUCGUCAUAUCGCGCCAGCCCUGGAGGAGAAGCACUACGACAUCAACCUUCAUCGCCAAGCUUUGGAGGAUUUCGUUGAAAAAUUCAGAAAUUUUUGACCUCUUCCGAGGUUCAAGGGACGGUCCGAGUACAACUCGACUUCUCCAUGAGUCGGACUGGUUCCCAUGAGCUGGUGCUUAAGCCAUCGUGCGAAUUGGUCUACGAUACAAGUCGAUUCCCAUUCGGACUCCGAAACUCAAGUGUUGUCUACCAAGCUACCCUAUCCAAAUCUUAAUCCAACUCGGAUUUGACCGAGAAUCUCGACUACUACUCGAAUCUGGAUGAGGAAAUCCCUUUAUCAGGUCCGCAGCACGGCCUGAUAAUCACUUCCGCUCCACAAGGUAGAUUCGUCUACUGGCCCAACAUGAAGUCACCUGCUCUUGCCAAGGAUGACAGUCAUGCCUUGUUGCCUACCUUGAUACCCUCCUAUACUAGGAUGGAACCCCUCUAUCGCAUAUCUAUGAAGAAGACAACCCCACAGAGAUUAUCACUUCAAGUUCGGGUAAUUUCUCUCCGGAGCGGGAACUCCUUGCCAUCGUUGCUCCACAAGAAGGCGACGGUGAAGAACCGCUAGAAAGAAAAACGCUACAUGAAUGUCACCCAGACGAUGUUUUGCAGGAUGAGCUCACCUGCCAACAUAGAAGGAGUUUAAACCAAAAAUCAAAGGAAUCGUCGGCGAGCAAGAAACACGACAUGAGCAGGUCGUCGCCGCCACGUUGCGUCUGACCUACCCAUUAUGAACUUCGAUCACGCGUUUCAAGGAGUUCAAUCGCGUCAAAACCGUACUCCUCUCGCCACCGUCACUUCCAUUGACCUAAUUACUCGGGCAAUGCCACAAACCAAAUAUACCAAGGAACUGGCUCUACUAGUGGAACGUGCAUACGAGCAACUCGACCAGCAGAGUCCGAUACACUCGGUUCGACGCACCUCUUCCUAUCAUGGCAGUAAUGCUAGACCUAGUCGUAAUGAGGACGACAGGCCAAGUUGGAACGAGGUUCCCAGAAUCGAGAACCAUAGACCAAGUCAGCACAGGGCAGAGAGUAAUCGGGCAGGAUCCUCGGGAGGCCGUGGCCACCGUGGGCCCCAUCUAGAGCCUGAACGCCUAGUACAUGAUCUCCAUCAGAAGCUCAACAACAACUGCGAUGCUCCUGACAUCAUCGAAGGGCACCAUCGCGAGCACGAGCAAGAAGUCGAGUACUUGGGAGAAGAUUCGAACGGGUUCCCCACCUUCUCAAAAUGAGUACGCAAGACAGUCCUAACCGACAAGUUUAAACAUCUGGGUAUCACCAAAUACGACGGCAAGCAAGACCUAGUCCAAUGGUUGCGGUGCUACUCGUUAUCCUGGCAACAUCAUCGACUUAUCCCAAGUCAAAUAGUAACAAGACGAGACCCUGCAUAGUUACUUAUGCCAUUUCUUCAACAAGAAGGCCACUGUUGUGGACAUCAUGGAGCAGGACGCCAUAGAGUGCUUCCAGAACGGUCUCUAUGAUCGCCGGAUGUUCCAAGAUUUUGGCAGAAAACGCCUGAAAGAUAUCAAAUCUCUCAAGACCAUGAUACAGGCUUGUGCUGAUGAAGAAGAUAAAGAUAUCGAGCAGUUCGAGUCUAGUUGUAAUAGAGGCUAGAACAACAACAACCAAAGUAAUGGCCAAUGAAACAACAAGAACCGCAACCAUCAUCCCAAUGACAACCGAGGCAACUACUCAGGUAGUCAAAAAUCGCAAGAGGAAGCCAGACAAUACUGUCGCGGUGAUGUUCCUGUAACGACUCACGUUCAUCAGCCGAGUUAAUCUUAAGACAAGUUCCCAAAUCUGCAGUUCUAAUCAGCCCUGACCCCUGACACCCAACAACCCGCUGUUUUUCUCUAAGCUCCAAAAAGUCAGUGUUCCUCCAAACUUUGGAGCUGUGGGAGAGCCAGAGUUUGGAAGUUGGACCCAGGGAAAGGAUCCCAUGGAUCUCUCGGGUCAAGCGCGCCAGAGCAAGCGUGCGCCCUGCUUUAGAGCCUCUCCAUCGCAUGGCUUAACCUCCCCGACGAGCCCCACCUCGCCCAGUCACCGGCCGUGACAAGAUAGAUCAGCGCGCCUCCUUCCCAAUCCCGCGCGAUAGCCCCUGCAGUCCUUUCUGCCUCGCCUCGUCUCGCUCGCACCCUCGCUGGCCGCGCCCAGGCACCCUGUCGCCGCUGCGACCAGAGAUUGGCCGCUGCUGCGCCAGACUGCCUCGCCUCCCGCGCUCAUCAUCUCGCUCGGAUCCCCGGCCGCGCGCCCCAAUAGCUCUCGGCUUUUCCGCGCCCCCUCUGUUGCGCUGCCCACGCGCGCGCCCCGCGACGAUGCCGCCUUCACCAACCACGGAUCCAGUAGUGACAACUCCUUUUCCCGCCUCGCUAGUAGCGUGCCCUGGCAAAGCCGCUGGUCUGCGCCUGCUAGCGUCACCGCUCGCCCUGUCACCUCGCCUGCAGCGCUCUCACCUGCAGUGCCCCUUCCUUCCUUCCUGCCACACGCUAGCUGAAUCGCCGUCCCUAAUCCGCCGCUUGAUGCGACCAGACCCGCGCUCGCCCUUGCCAAUCCUUCCCUCCGGCAAAACCGUGCCUGCAUAAGCUCUGUCUUCAGUACCCAAUGACCGAAGACCCUAUCCCCGAAGCUCCGCUUCGCCGGCCACUAGAGGCGUCGAUCAAUCGCCGCCAUGGCAGAGCACUCCAUCCUAAUCAACCUGAUCCUCGCGCUGCCCGGACUCAUUCUCUUCGCACAGCUAUAAAAGGGAGUACCAGAGCCUCUACCAGAGUUCCCUUGCCAUUGUUGCCUGGCCGCAUCUUACUCUAUUUCGUGCUCAAGCACUGCCACCUAAGCUUUUGAGGAACUCCCCUCUCCGCUCAACUUCCGCCUUUUCCCAACCCACCAGCCGCUUGUUUCCUCCGCACGGUGCUAGAGCUUACUUGUGUCAACAAGAAGCACCGCUGCCGCCGGAGCACCGCCGGACCUCGCCGCCGCCUAAACCUUAGCACCUUUCAUCGCUCCGCCUGAGCCUGUUCCUUCCCGACCCCAAGACUUCACCAGUAGGCCUAGAGGUAAGCUGCUGACACCCUGUCUGUUUCGCCCGACCCCUUUUUUCGUCUCGCCCGACCCUAUCUGUUUUGCCCGACCCCUUUUUCCAUUUCGCCGACCCUGUCUGUUUCGCCCAACCCCUUUUCCGUCUCGCCCAACCCUGUCUGUUUCGCCGACCCUUAUCCACCUCGCCCGAGGGCUCAGCUGUAUCUUUUACUUUGACCUAAGGGUAUCUGUGUAAAAUUUUGGGGACUUCUCUGUCUUAAGUGUGAGGACCCCGGUACAGUUAUUCCUUAGGUCUGAGGGUCAUAUCAUAAGUUUCUCCCAAUACGACCCUUUUGUCUUGUUCUCUAUCAACUGAAGCUUGGAAUUCCACACUUUUCCUGUAGCUUUGCUACAAGUUUCUGGGCUAAAGUUUGCAAGUGUUGUUCAAAUAACCGUCUAUGUGUUAACCCCUGCAUUUGCGUUUGUGUAGAACUAAAUCUCGCCGAUGGCACCUACGAGCUGCAUCCGGUGCCAGAAGACGGAGCGGUAGCUGAGUCGCCGACCGCAGGAGCUGAAGCAGAACUCGUAGAGGACCAGUUUGCCUCCACCCUGCUUGAAGGCAAGCCCCGGAGCAUAACCAAUCUUUCUAAACUUGCGCAUGCCUUCUUUUGUAUGUAUGUGUAUUUACGUUACAGGAGUUGUUUGAAACCAUAGAUGCAUGACUUAGUUCCCUUGAUCUGAACACUAGUCUGAUAAGUUCGAGUAGCCGCAUUACUUAAUAGGACUCGGUAAAAGUCGAUUGAUUUCCUGUCACUCACGAGUUAUAGAAGUUGGUUGUUCUCCUUCUGGUUACAACUAUAAGGACGGUGGACGGGGCAAGGCCUGGUGAACUAUUUUGGUGGUCGGUGGAUCGCCCCAUCUGUCUACUGGAAUCUGGUUAAGGUCUGACAGUGGUGGUGUUCGUGAUCAAGUAUUUGAAAGUACUAAUGUCAUACCUAGUAUGGGAUGGGGAAGCCUAGUACCUGAUUGAACUAGGGCGUGGCUUAUACCCCUGCUGUCCCUGUAACGAGGUUCCCAUGGUGCAUCAUGUGGGUGCAAGUGUAGCCACAGUACGACAAGAGGUCGGGAUUGUAGAGCAUUGCAUGCUAAGGGAAGUUUGGACCUGACACGUGCCUGGGAAUUGAUGGGUACGGCCGACACAAGAAGCGACCCUUUGUGGUGCGCGGAUGUCGUGAGAUUAGGUUCACCAUGCAUGGUUAAGAAACUCGAAUCGAUUCGUCUGCCUCUCACAGUUUGAGACUGCUUGAUCGCUAUGCUACACUGAGUAAAGAUGGAACAUGAUGAUGAUAUGAACUCGAUGCUUGUUCUAUAAAUUGUGUUGGAAACUAUGUUUGUUUAGCAUAACUUGCCAAUGUAGACUGGUUAAUGAACUUAGAAACUGAGCUAAAAUAUUGAAAGUAAGGACCCACUGUAGUCGCUUUUGGCAAAACAAACCCCUCAGCUAGAGAGCCUUGCAUGUCUAGAUGUUGGUGGAGUAGUUUACCCACUAGUCGGUUAAGUCUUGUUGAGCUUAGCAGCUCAGCCUUACUUGUGGCAUCUCUUUUAGGUGAAGUUGAAGCUUCUAAAUUUGCUGCUGUUGGCACUUGGCUGCCCCAGCUUCCUCUUGGGUGGACGGUCGAGUGGGAUCCCUCCUUGAACGGCGAGGAAAGGGAUCACUGAUGUCCUGAUCGGCGUCAUCAGGGACAUCCGACCCCGGCACUAGCUUCCGCUAUUUCAUCUUUCCGCUGCUUUUGAAUCUUGUAAAACUUUGAUGUUCGAACCAAUGUUGAAAUAAAUUGUUGAGCUUGUUUAACUUGGUUGAUCUGUUGUAUUCUCUGGAACCACUUACUUUCGUGUGAGCUAUGCUAACUUGGUCCUGUCUAAGUGGUUUAUCGGAUGAAAUCUGACGGAUCGUCGAGUUAACUUGAUUAAAGUAUGAGAUUCGCGUGUUAGGCGACUUAACCGUGCUUUAGCUAAGUUAAUCCGAGGUGUUUCGCCACAACUGGUAUCGGAGCAAGUUUAGCAGGACAGAGAACACAAUAGGUUAGCACUUUCUUUUUAAAUAAAAUUUGCAAGAAAUGUGUUGAAAAAUCUCGUACGAUCGUUAAGGAUGACCUUAGUAUGAGAGGCCCUAGGGGAUUGUGGGGUUAUUUUUAGGUGGCUAUUAUUUAUUGGUUAUUUUGCUAACAUCCAGCACUUCGCCACGUGUAUUAUACAUGUGCCGAGUUCUGCAUCACGAGUAUGCGAGGGUUGCUAGGGAGUUCUAUUCAAAGGACCCUAUCAUUGCGGUUGUUUCGCCCACGUUUAUCAUACGUGCGUAGGUUCCGUAUGUUAACUCAUGCGAAGGGUGGUAUGGUUCGAUUCCAACGAGCCUAUCAUCAGGGUUGUUCGCCCACGUCUAUUAUACAUGCGCAGAUUCCGCAUCGCGAGUAUGCGAAGGGUCAUAUGGUUCCAUUCAAAGGGGGCCUAUUUCCAUGGUUGUUGUGCUGUCCAUGCAGUGUUAAACGCAUGGGUGCCGUUUCUAUAGUGAACGGAAUGCUUGGGGACGCUUUUGUGAGUGCUGGCAUGAAAGGUUCAUGUGGUUGUGUUUUUUGCAGGUACACUAGCCGCGUUCGCUUAGGGAAACGCUGCUAGAAACCGACUAGCUAUUAUAGGGGCGACGUACUUGUUGCCUUGCCAUCGGCACUAACCACGUGAGACCAAAGCUUUUGGAAGUUAUUUUGGUUGAGAGGAUGAGGUAGGUCAUGCAUGCGUCAUGAACUAAAAUCUGUAAAACUGCAUCCUUAACACAACCUUGCCCUGGUUUAAAGCCCUACUUCGCUUUAAGGAUUUCUAGCUACCUUUUGAGCUUGCGCUUUGGUCAGAAAUCCGAGUAUCUCACCCUGCACGAUCUGUUCUCCUUGGGGUUUUUGUCUCACGCUUGUUUUGGUUCUUAGUUCCAGAUGGCUGCUCCCAGACAUGUGUUUCGCGGCACUGAUAACACUUCCCACUCCACGUGCCUACACUUCGAGGGCUUUCCUACUAUUUUGUGGGAUACCUUGAGGUGGUUUGGGUACCAGUCACCGCCUCUUUACGCGGGACGUGAGUACCAGGAGCACGGAGUGCAACAGUGCAACGUGCAAGUGGUUGUACCUCCACCCUCUGUACAGCCCGAGUGGCCCCAGCUCGAGGUCUCGACCUACGGUCACACUCUUGAGGACACCUGGGAGUCAGCUGCCCUGCAGGCUCUCACCCAGUUUUGCCAGUUACACCCGUUUGAGGUCCUUUUGGACCCAAUCGGUUUGUUUCCCGCUAGGGAUCGGCUGGACCCGGCUUGGCUUGACCGCGUCAGCAACAUGGAGGUGUUGGCAGCCUCACACUCGUUGGUCACCCUCUCUACCACGACAAAGUGCAUGUCAGCUUUAUACCGACUGGUUGAACUUCAAGGACGGGCUAUGGCUGUCUUGGCACGGAUCACCGUAGACACCAAGGAGCAUUUCAAUACCGCCAAGAGAGACUUGGUGGAACAGUCAUAUCAGCUUAUCCAAAGGGGCAUAAAGGUCUCCGACAUGCAGACCAGGAUUACAGAGCUAGAGGAGGAAGUGACGGACAUGGAGCAUGACAUGACUCAGCUCGCUGAAGAGAAAUUGGAGGUUGAGAUGGAGCUCGCGAUCGCAAAUGCGCACUUAGCCAAGCACCAUGCCGAGCUAGAUGCCAUCCAUGCCUUGGAAAUGCAGCUGGAUGAGCAAAUAGCCCCGGAGGAGGAGGAAGACCCUGAGGAGGGAGAGGGAGUCUCCAGUAUGGACAUUGAAGAUGGCGACACCCCUUCUUCAAUGCAUAGUAUUUUCUCAGUAGGCAACCUGGAUGACUUUUAGGUUGAAGGCUGUAGAAGUUGGUCUUUUGUUGUACUCCUCGGCAACCUAUAAUUUUGGAUAGUGAUGUAAUAGGUUAGCCUUGAGUUGAGUACUCCUUCUGUAUUAAGAGACCAGUAAUGAAAUGAUCUUGGUGAAAUCAGUUCCUGUUUUUCCCUUCACUCUUGACUCGACUUUUGACCCUUUGGGACAUGCCUUGGAUGCCAAAGUUGUGUGUGAAGUUUGUGCUGUAGCUGCACGCAAAGUUUCCGCUCUUUUGGGUCUGUCCAAAAUUUGGCCGACCCAGGGUCACGAGGUCGGAUGCGCCCGACCCCUCGCGGCCGGUCUCCGCCUCGCCUGACCCCUUGUUGCAAGGCUCCAUUUUGCUUGACUCGGACACUAAAGGUCGGACAUAGUGGGACCCCCGGGAUAAGGUUUUGACUCGCCCGAGGUUGUGUGCAGACCAGCCGAUGAGAACCCGGAUCUUGGACCCUACCGAGCGUGGAUCAGAACACCUUUCCGUUUGGUUAGCAAGAGAACAGUGCAGAGACGAGCUAGUUACUAGCUAAGAUGGCAAAAAGAUGUACACCUCCUUAAUAAAAGAUAUGUUGUUGUGUGCACUAUCGGCAAGAGUCGCCUUAAGGAUUUAGCACAGAAGUUCCCGCAUGACUGGAAUAUUUCUGGGAUUAUGUAACUAAUGGAACGCUGACUCUUGCAAAUGGCGCACCGCACCCAUUCCGGCUCUGUACCUAGUGGUAGUGAGUAGAGGCAGGAUCUGCCCCCGCCCCCGCCCCCGCCUUCGCUGGAGGCGAUCUUGGCUGCUCAAACCGAGCUGCUGAGGCAUAUUGCCCAAGGGCAACAGCAAUAGCCCCAUGGGGGAAGGGCUCAGCAGCAACCUCAUGUUGCUUGCUAUGAGGAUUUCUUGGGGACGGGUUCCUUUGUUCUAGAAGACACAAGACCCGCUCGACGCCGAUGCCUGGAUUCGUGCCAUCGAAUCCAAGUUCUCCCUCCUCACCGCCCAUUGCCCGGAGGAGAACAAGGCUCGGUUCGCCGCGCAGCAACUGUGUGGUUCUGCCCUCCUUUGGUGGGAUCACUACCACGCCGGCCGACCACGUCGUCAGCUGGGAAGAGUUUAAGACGGCGUUCAGGGGCCAUCAUAUCCCUGAAGGUCUUCUGGAGUGUAAACUCAACGAGUUCCUGGCCCUUACCCAGGGAAGUCGUGAUGUCCUGCACUAUGCGCAGGCUUUCAAUAAUCUGUGCCGAUAUGCUAGAUACCAUGCGGACACAGAUGAGAAGAAGCGAGACAGGUUCCGCAGAGGGCUAAGCCUGGAGCUCAGGGAGAGAUUAAACCCGAUAAGGGUGAAUACGUACAACAAGUUGGUCAACUUGGCCAUCUCACAAGAGGACUGCAUGAAGGCUCUGGCAGCCGAGAGGAAGAGGAAGGCUCCAAUGCUGAUGCCCAGCCCACCUGCACAACGAUUCAGAAUGGUUCCCCCACAGGUGCCCAGCCGACCCCAGCAGUCAGGAAGAUGGGUUGCCCAACCCCCACCAGCGGCAGCACUUCGUUUUCCGGGAUUUCAACCUCAGGCACCGCGGCCGACCCUACCGCCACCACUGCACCCUGCAAAUGGUAAUCGCUGCUUUACCUGCGGCAAUGUGGGGCAUUUCGCCAAGGACUGCCCCAGAAAUCAGAAUCAGCGCCCAGGGCAGAGCAAUGCGAUGCUCAAUAAAGGGAAGAGGCCCAAGAUGCAAGUUCGCCAAGGUCGGCUGAACUUCACCAACGCAACAGAGCUUCCUGAAGGUGCACCGAUAAUGACGAGUACCUUUCUUAUCUACAGUUGUUCAGCUUUGAUUUUGUUUGACUCAGGAGCCUCACAUAGUUUUAUUGGAAAAAAGACUAGUGACAAAUAUGGGUUAAAGGAAUGCCAAACAAGAGGGUCUUUUAGGAUAUCCACCCUGGGUGGGGUAAUCACAUCAGAUAGGAUGAGUGUCAAUGUGCCUAUCCAGCUAGGCCGAACCCUUUUUAAGGAAAAUCUUGUUAUGCUCGAUCUAGAGGGGAUUGAUGUCAUCCUAGGAAUGGAUUGGAUGACUAGGCACCAUGUUGUGCUAGAUAUCCCAGCCCGAGCUAUCCAUGUCAACUCACCCCACCAAGGCCCCUCUGUUGUCCAAUUGGCUUGCCAAGAAGAUGUGAAUUCUUGUGCGUAUCCCGCAGUUGAGACCCGACUGGAGGACAUCCCUGUAGUCUGUGAGUACCCCGAUGUGUUUCCCGAUGUUUUGCCAGGCAUGCCGCCUGAUAGAGAUGCGGAGUUUUCCAUAGAGUUGAUCCCCGGCACAGGCCCUAUCUCCAAAAGACCGUAUCGGAUGCCACCCGCCGAGUUGGCUGAGUUAAAAACCCAACUAUAUGAGUUGUUGGAGAAAGGCUUUAUCUGACCCAGCACUUCACCCUGGGGUUACCCAGUCCUGUUUGUGAAGAAGAAGGAUGAGAGUCUACGCAUGUGUGUGGACUACCGACCCCUCAAUGCGGUGACUAUCAAGAACAAGUAUCCCCUUCCCCGCAUUGAUGUUUUGUUUGAUCAAUUAGCUGGAGCUAGAGUGUUUUCCAAGAUUGAUCUUCGCUUCGGCUAUCACCAAAUCAAGAUCCGACCCUGUGACAUCCCCAAAACUACCUUCUCCACAAGAUAUGGACUCUACGAGUACCUGGUUAUGUCUUUUGGACUCACCAAUGCACCCGCUUACUUCAUGUAUCU
rnacentral:lncRNA from 1 species